GCCACCAUCGAGCAUCGUGAUGACAGCAACACAAUUUCUGUUUACAUAAAUUGCAACAAUGCCGGCGCAGAGUUUGUGCACGCCAUGGCCGAUGGAGUCUCUGUUGCAGAUAUCAUUACACCUGUUUAUGUUCCUAAUGAAACUGUUUACUCUUUUUUCCCACUAAAUGGAGUAACAAACUGUCAGUGUAUCUCCGAGGCCAAGCCGUUGCUUGGGGUUCAAGUGACAGAGCUUGUGGACGGAAUCUUCAUCGCUUGCACUAUCAAUCACUCCGUUGUUGACGGCACUUCCUUUUGGCAUUUCUUCAAUUCCUGGUCUGAAAUCUCACGGGGUUCUGAUUGUAUUUCAAAACUUCCAGUUCUCGAACGUGGAUUUCUCUCUGAUUCUGAAUAUUUUCCCAGUCGCCUCCCUCUCUGGAGCAUUGAACCUUCCGGAACUCACACUCCACCGCCUAAUUUGCGACAAAGGGUUUUCCACUUUACAAAGGAAAACAUUGCAAAACUCAAAGCAAAAGCCAAUGCUGAGAUUGGUAGUACCAACAAAAUCUCCUCUCUCCAAGCAAUCCUUUCCCAUAUUUGGCGAUCUUUUACUCGUAAUCGAUCUCUUGAUCCUGAUGAAGAAGUUCAUUUCAUGUUAGGAAUGGGAGUUAGACAAAGAUUGCAACCACCACUGCCACCAGAAUAUUUUGGAAAUGCAGCUCAGGUACUGGGAGAGUUCGCAUCCAUGAAAGCGAGAGAUCAACUUGAGCAAGGGCUUGGAAAUGUGGCAUUGAAAAUGAACAAGUUCAUCGCUGCGUACACAGACGAAAAGAUAAAGAACUUCUUGGAGUCUUGGGGAAAAAACCCUGAGAUCCUAACAUGGGAUAGCCUGCCGACGAAGAAUAAUGCUUGCUUCGUAAGUAGCUCGCCGAGGUUCAAUUUCUACGGUAACGAUUUCGGGUGGGGAAGACCAAUUGCAGUAAGGAGUGGUCCAGCGAACAAGGCUGCUGAGGGGAAGAUCACCCUGUUUGCCGGAGUGGAAGAAGGGAGUGUCGACGUUGAAGCUUGCUUUUUGCCUGAGACACUGCAAGGUAUGGGAAAUGAUACAGAAUUCAUGCAAUUGGUAUCUUAAUUGUUAAAAAUCUUCCGUGUUCUGGGGCUUUGCUCAUUAACCAUUAUAUCAAUGAAAGCUUACUUUUAAAUACAUUUUUUAUGAAUUAAUGUAGAUCAAAUUUAGUAUGACAUGUUUAUGUUUCUGAUCAAAUGAUGUAUUUUCAUUGGUCAUGUGAGAAGUAAAAGAGAUCCAACCGCAAGUUGCUUCUACCAAACAUUGACUUUCAUAUUAUUGGCGUGCCUUGGCAAAAGCCCAAUUAGGAUUUCAAUUAAAAUAUAUCUAAUUUUGAUAUUUUUGAAAAAUAAAGCCAUGGUGAAAUAAUUGACAUAACAUCAAUAUUAUAUCAGUAGUUCAGUGAUUUUUUUUUUCUUUUUGGGUACUUGCACCUUGCUGAUAUAGACUUUGUAAAUUAUUCUGAAUGCUUAACAUAUUUCUUUUAAUGUGAUCAAUAAAAGUUUUAAAAGCAGUCUAACAGAUUAAUGAUAAAUAAAUUUGUUUCAUAUUAAAAAUAAUUCUCGAUGACUUGAUAAUCCUGUGAAGAAGUUCCUUUCGAACUAUCGAUAGGAGUUAGAAUAAGAUUGCAACCAUCACUGCCGCCUGAUGAAUAUUUCGGAAAUGCAAUUCUAUAAAGCGGGAGAUCAAAUUGAAUAUGCGGCACUGCGAAUGAGCAAUGUUAGUGAAACUGAUAAAAUGUGAAGAACAGAGGAAACGAGUACAUGCUGUAACUAUGUAUUUGACAGCAGCUGAAUAGCUCACUCAGCUGACGUGGCUUAGUUAGUUAUUUUGAUUUAAGCAUUCUUCACAUGUGUGUAACAAAUUGCCAACAAUUAGUAACAAGUUGCUUUCACUUGCUAUAUAUAUGUAUAAUCUGUACUCAUUCGAUUAAUGAGAAGUUUUUACAAGUUUCCAUUAUGAGUUUUUCAUUCAUUUUCCUUUUAACUUUCUCGCUUCCCAAACACAAAUACUUGAGUUUCUAUCAUGGUAUCAGAGCCAUCAAUGGUGUUGUAAAAAAUUUUAAUAUACUCGUAAGCGCACGAAUGUAGAAUAAAAUAAUGGUAAUAAGGUCAAACCCACAGGGAUUAUUAUAAAUUAAAAAGUCUAAUUUAAAUAAAUUAAUAUUAAUUCUAACCUAGUUGAACAAAUUGAGUUUCUAAUAAAAUUUAACCAAUUAAACUAAGAAAACAAUUAAAACAAAGGAGAAUUUAAUAAGACAAAAAUUACUAAGGUUUCAGAAUCCACCACUAAUCAACUAGUAAUUACCUAAUUAUUAAUUAAUCCCCAAUUUUAGAGUGACAACUCGAAAUCAAUUUAUAUCAUCUCAUGGAUAUAACAAUUAAGCCCAAAUAAAAUUAUUCUUGUGUUGGUUCUUUUUCUUCUUAAUAAUAUGAUAUCUAAGCAUCCCAUGUAAACAUAUUGAAUAACAAAGAGUCAAAGUUUUCCGAAGCACUCUGUGUAAACAAUUUAAUGAAAGACACAGAAUCAAAGAUAAUCAUGUAUAAACUUUAAAGACUCAAGCAUAAAUUUAAUCGGAUAUUAAUUGUAACAAUCAAUAAUACAUGACAAAAUUGAUGAAAAUUUUUUAAUAACAUUCAACUAAUCAUGUGAAACACGAACCAUAAAUAUUAAAGAACAUAUGUAGAGAAUUAAUUAAAUAAAAAGAUAAUUAUUUCAUUAAAUAGGGUUUCAUCUUUAACCUCAGUAUAAAAAAAUUAGUUAGACAUACUAAAAUAGAGAAUAACAAAUAAAAUAAAAUCAACCAUGGAGAAGCCGAACUGUUGUUGCUGCUGCCGCUCCUCUUCAAAGUCAAAUACUCCCUCUUUUUCUCUCCUUUGGCGGCUGCCUUCUCAAAAGCCAAAGUUGGCUUUUUAUAAUGCUUAGCCACCCACUGACUUAACAAAGCCCACUCACCAAGCCCUUUUUAAAUUGUUUCCUUAUUAAGGGUUGAAAACUAGCCACACGUUUAACUUAAAAGUAAAAGGCCAAUUAAUAGUUUCUUCUUUUAAUGCCCUGCACAUGCAUUCCAAAUUGCCAAAUCUUUGCUUUCCAAAUGCAUGCCCACCGUUCAUUAUUUGAUGAGAUUGACUUCCAAUUUUGGUCUUCUUGACUUCCAUUAAUUCUUGACUGUAUUUUUGUCUUCUAAUUUAAUCUUUAUUCCUUCCCAAUUUGAACUUCUUCAUGCCCUUUUUAUCCUUAAUCUUCAAUUAAUUUCCUAUUCAAUAAAAUAAUUCAAUUAAUUAAAAAUAACAAAUAAAAAUAACUAGUAAAUAUGUAAUUACGGGUAAAGUAUGUAUAUAAAUUAUGAUCAUCAAAUGGCAAGCAUGAUUCAAUCCAAUACAUCCUCCUCUCCUUCAAAUAAUUUCCUACCUCAUAUCCUUCGUGCACCUCCUCCCAUUGGUCAUCCUAUGAUGACCAGAUCCAAGAAUGGCAUAUUCAAGCCAAAGUCUUAUCUAUGUGCUCUUUUAGCCUAAUCAUUUGAACUUUCCUCUGUCUCUCAAGCUUUAUCUGAUCCAUUAUAGUUCAAAGCCAUGCAAGAAGAAUUUCAAGCCUUACAAGCCAAUCACACAUGAGACUUGGUACUACCUACUGCUCCUGUUAAAGUGGUUGGUAACAAAUGGGUUUUUAGAAUAAAAUACAACCCUAAUGGGUCAAUACUAAAGUACAAAGCACGGCUGGUUGCUAAAGACUUCCAUCAGAUACAUGGUAUUGACUACACUGAAACCUUUAGUCUAGUAGUAAAAGCCUCUACUGUCAGCAUUACUGUUAUGAAUAAUUGGGUUCUUCGGCAAAUAAAUGUCAAUAAUGCUUUUCUAAAUGGUAUUCUUGAUGAGGAAGUGUAUAUGACACAUCUCGAAGGAUUUAUUGAUCCUCAUAAACCUUAGCGCAUAUGCAAAUUGAGGAAAGCUAUCUAUGGUUCGAAACAAGCUCCAAGAGCUUGGUUUGCCAGACUUAAAACAACAAUGCUUUCUCAGUGGCAUUUUUAGAGCUCCAAGUCAGACAAUUCACUCUUCUAUAAGAGAGAAAAUGGUCAUUUACUUUUGGUUUUGGUAUAUGUGGAUAAUAUUAUUGUUAUUGGUUCUAGCUCAGCGAAAGUUCAACAAGUAAUUCAAGAUAUGUAGAAGACUUUUGCCUUGAAGGAUCUAGGAGAACUCAACUAUUUUUUAGGCAUUGAAGUCUCAAAACUUUAAAAUGGCAUUCAUUUAUCCCAGGCUACGUACAUUGCUGAUAUUUUGGCAAAAGAUGACUUAGUUAAUUGUAGUCUAGUGCCAACACCUAUGUCUACAGGUCAGCAACUCACCAAAGACUCAGGUUCUGAAAUUUCAAAUAUUUCUCAGUAUAGAAGCAUUAUUAAGGCCCUACAAUAUGUUACUCUCACUAGACCAGAGAUAGCCUUUACUGUCAAUAAGCUUAGCCAGUUUCUAUCUAAUCCUAGAACUACACAUUGGGAGGCUUGCAAAAGGUUGUUAAGAUAUCUAAAAGGCACAAUUCAUUUUGGUCUUCAAUUUUACAAUUGUGGAGCUAUGCAAAUCAACUCUUUUACAUAUUCAGACUGGGCUUAUGAUCGGGAUGAUAGAAAAUCAGUAGUUGGUUUUGCUAUUUAUCUAGGUGCCAAUCUGGUUUUAUGGUCAUCCACGAAACAAUUAGCUGUCUCAAGGUCCAGUACAAAAGCUGAGUACAGAGCUUUGGCUCAUGCUGCAUCAGAGGUCAUUUGGAUAUAGUUUUUACUUGCUGAGCUAAGAAUUCAGCUAAGUACUACACCAAUUAUGUGGUGUGAUAACCAGGGAGCAAUUGCCUUAGCUUAUAAUUCAGUUUAUCAUGCUAAAACAAAGCAUGUUGAGCUGGACAUUCAUUUCAUCAAAGAUAGAGUGGGAUCAAAAGAAAUAGCUAUUUGUUUUGUGCAUAGUGAAGAUCAAACAACAAAUGUCUUAACUAAGGCUCUUACUUUCACUUAGUUCCAUUACUUGCGCAGUAAAUAAAAUGUUUAUCCCAGAAACACCAGUUCCAGAGGGGAUAUAAGUAAAGAUGAUAAUUUGUGAAGAAUAAAAUAAGGGAGUAAUGUGAAAAGCAGAAACUCCAGCUUAAGAGGGGAUGUUAGUGAAACUGAUCCCUUGGAGUCCUGGAGACAAAACCUUGUGGUCUUAACAUGGGAAAGCUAGAAGACGAAAUCUUAUUGGUUUCCAAAUAGUUCGUCGAGGUUCAAUAGCAAUGAGAAGUGGUCUAGGGAAUAAAGCUUAUGGAAAUAUCACUUAGUUUACAGGAGUGGAAGAAGGUAAUAUCGACAUUUAAGCUUGCUUUUUACCGGAGACACAACAGGGUAUGGGACAUGAUACAGAAUUCAUGCCAUCUACGUGUUAACGUCUUUGGUGAUCCUAAAAUAUUACUUUCUAAUCAUUCAUUUACACGUUAUCACGUGCAAAUGAAUGGUAUCAUAAUUAGUUAAAAGCACACAAAUGAUAAAAAGUGAAUUCAUUACUAUAACUAUGCUUUAUUUAGGCACCUCAUGCAAUAAAUUAUUUCAUCUCAAAACUCAAUUUAAUAAUUAAUCCCAUGAACAUCCAUUCGUUAGAGCAUGACAACAAAAUUUAUGUAUGGCAUCUGUGGUAGAGCAUAAUAGUUGUAGAGAAAUGGAAAUUGAAAGGAAGGAGCUGGCAGCUUAUAACUGUGAUUCAAGUUUUUGCUUUAGAAUCUUUCAGAAAAAAAAAAAGUUUUUGCUUUAGAAAAUUUUUGACUCAACCUAGUAAACUGGUCAAUAAACUAUCAAAUUUGGGGCCCAAUUUGAUGGGCCUAGUUGGUUGCAGUGUUGGGUCUAGUUAGUCUCAACAAAUACUGGUCGUAGCCUCGUAGGCAGUUCGCAUUAGAGAUUUAUGAUGAUUGUAAUGUGUGAAUGAGUAAUAGAAAGCUCUAUUUAUUGGCACAAGGAGUAACCUUUGUGCGGUUGUGCAGAUAAAAAGAGAAAACAUGUAGUGGGUUAUAUGAAAUUAAAAGUAAUAUGUUGUUAUAAACACGAUUAGAAAACUCCUGAUUUAAGCCAUAAAAGCCUUCAACUCAACACCAAAGUAUUCAGGGAACUACACUCAUGGUUUGAAUAGAAAUGCACAACCAUGGUUCUAAUACCAAUGGCUAAAAUAAUUUUAAGCUUUACGGCAAUGAAUCCAUUCAACAUAUUUCAUAAGGGAGAAAAACUGCAUUUUAUCUUGGUUGGCCAUGAAAAAGACUUGCUGGUAAGCUUGUUUCUUGCCCGUUAAUUCAACCUUUUGUUCUUGGCUUCAAUCUCAACAGCAAAAUCAAGCUCCUCAUUCACUGCACACACACACAAUUAGGAGAAAGGAGAAAAAGAAAGAUAGUGUAUAAUGGAACUGCAUUUUAAAGAAAUGUGUAGAAAACAAUCAAAACCUCUACAGAAUUCUUAGUAUUUUUGUCAACACAAUACUUCUUCUUUUAAAGACAUUAAUGCCAUAGUACAAAACCUUAGCCUACAAGAUUUGUACACACAAAAUGAAAAAAGAGCCAAGUAAUUCAUGAAUAAAAAACAUAGAGCAAAGAAGGGAUAAGUAACAUAAACACGCACAUGAAAUUGGCACAGAUGAACAAAGAACGAGUUGCAAGCUCUUUAUUACCGAAAGAAACGAGCCCCAUAUCAUAUGAUCUCCCUACAAGCUUUACAACGAGCUAUCAUAUGCUUUCCAACUCUCAAAGAUUAACAAGUUAUAGGCCUUAGAAAUUGCCCUCGUAAAUUCAUUUUAAAGCUAAAUUUUCUUGCUAUUCAUGGGAUGAGCAUAUACUAUAUACAUAUUUUACCCUUAAUUAUAUAAUUGCUAAUUAUUUUUAUUUGAUAUUUUUAAUUAAUUAAUUAUUUUGUUGAAUAAAAAAUUACGUGGAGAUUAUGAAUAAAAAAAGGGCAUAAAGGAGCUCAAUUUCGGAAGCAUUAAUUAAUUGAUUUUCGGAGCAAUUAAGUAUAUUUGCAUGUGAAGUCAAGCAAAGGAAACCAAAUUCAACAAAUUGAUUCAUCCAUGCACAUGAAGACAAAGAAGAUUAUGGCCAUCACGUGAGAAGCAAUCACCAUUAUUGUUAGCAUGUGCAUGGCAUUAAAAAAGGAAUUCUAAUGCAAUUCUAAGUGGUGAGUACGUGUGAGAGCAAAACAAAUUAAAAGGCCAAGCCUUUCGGCUUUAGAAUUGGAAUGGUUGGUGGCUCAUUUUGGAGAUUAUAAAAAGAAAUAUGAACUUUGGCUUUUAAGAGGCCAACCGCGAGAAGAGAAAAAAGAGAGCAACGUUAGGCAUUCGGUAGAGGAGAAAAUAGCGGCAGAAGCUCUUUAAUUCUUUUAUGGUUGGUUUUAUUUUAUUUGUUGCUCUCAAUUCAAGUAUGUCAAGCUAAUUUUCUUUUACUGAGGUUAAAGAUGAAACCUUAUUCAAUGAAAUAAUUAUCUUUUUAUUUAAUGAAUUCCCUACAUGCGUGUUUUAAUGUUUAUGUUUUUUUAUUUUACAUGAUUAAUUGGAUGUUAUUAAAUCUUUUCAUCAAUUCUGUCAAGCAUUAUUGAUUGUUAGGAUUAAUAUUCAAUUAAAUUUAUGCUUUGGUCUAUAAAGUUUUUAUAUUAUUAUCUUUGAUUCUAUAUCUUUCAUUAAAUUGUUUACAUAGAGUGCUUAGGAAAAUUUUGACCAUUUGUUAUUCAAUAUGUUUACAUAAGAUGCUUGGAUAUCAUACUAUUAAGCAGAAAAAGAACCUACAUUAGAUUUAAUUACUUGGGCUUAAUUGUUAUAUUCAUAAGAUGACAUAAAUUGAUUUCGAGUUGUCACUCUAAAAUUGGGGAUUAAUUAACAAUUAGAUAAUUACUAAUUGAAUAGUGGUGAAUUCUGAAACCUUGAUAAUUUUUGUCUUAUUAAAUUCUCUUUUAUUUUAAUUGCCUUAGUUUAAUUAGUUUAAUUUAUCUUAAAACUUAAUUUGCUCAACUAUUUUAGAAUUAAUAUUAAUUUUAGAUUUAAAUUAGACUUUUCAAUUUAUAACAAUCCCUGUAGGUUUGACCUCAUUACCACUAUUCUAUUUUUAAAUUCGUGUGCUUGCAAGUAUAUUAAAAUUUUUCACAAUAAGUUUUUGGCGUCGUUAUUGGGGAUUGUGCCAGAAAGUCAGUUUAAUCUAGAUUGAUUUGAUUUUUCCAGUAGUUAUAAUUUAAGUUGUCUUUUAUUUUUAUUUUAUUUUUUUAAUAAAAAACACAAAAAAUAUUUAUUUGUCUUUAAAUUUAUUGUUUGGUUGUUUGAUUUGUUUUAUUUUAAAUUCCGUUUAUUUUUAUUAUUGUUGCUUUAUUUUCCUUUCUUUGUCUAGUUAGUUUAUGAGUGUUUGGGAACGCGAUUCAACAAAUCGUUUGGUAAGAAAAGAGUUUAAAAUUGAUAGUAGUCGAGUUAGUUCUUCAAAAGUGAUGGAUGACCCAAAUAGAAUAUUGUCAGUACUUCCACCAGUACAAGCAGAGAAAAUCCUUAGAGAAUCUUUUUCACCACUUGCAGCCAACCAACCAUCUUGUAUUGUGUUGCCACAGACUACAUCAACACACUUUGAACUCAAGCCCUCUGUCAUUUAGCUUUUACCAUCUUUCCAUGGGUUAGAGAGAGAGGACCCAUAUUUGCACAUUAAGUACUUUUUUGACAUGUGCUCUACAUUUUAUUUUCAAAAUUUUAAUGAUCAGUCAAUUAGGUUUCGUAUGUUCCCUUUCUCAUUAAAAGACAAAGCGGAAGCUUGGUUGAAUUCACUUCCUGCUAGGUCUAUUACUACUUGGGAUGAAUUAAGUAAUAAGUUUUUUACCAAGUUUUUCCCUAUGUCUAAAACAAAUGUCAUUAGGAGAGAGAUAAAUGAUUUUUGUCAAAGAGAGGGUGAACAAUUUUAUGAGUGUUGCGAAAGAUUCAAUGAUUUACUCCUCAAGUGUCCCCACCAUGGUUUUGAGAAAUGGAGACUUAUAUAGUGCUUUUAUAAUGGUUUAACUAUAUCAAAUCAUCACAUGAUAGAGUCUAUGAAUGGUGGGAGAUUUUUUAAUUUACAUGAAGGGGCUGCAUGAGAUUUCUUUAUUUUACUUUUUGAGAAUUCUCAACAAUGAGAUUUUUCAAAUCAAAGAAAAAAAUGAUCUCAAGUUUCUAGGAAAGUCUAUAUGAAGUUAAUGAAGAUUUUGAUGUUAAGGUCAUUCUAGCUACACUUUCUAGGAAAAGUAGACGCCUUAACUCUGAACCAAUCAAUGAAUCAUCACCCUAGUGUACCUAAUGAGGUUUGUACUCUUUGUUCUAACUUGUCUCAUACAGCACAUAAUUGUCCAUCAUUGCCAGCCUAUCAAGAGGCUUAUUAUGAGCAAGUACAGGCCUUACAAUCAUAUGAAAAAAACCUUCAAUAGUCCAUAUUCAUCCACAUAUAAUCCUAAUUGGAGGAACCACCCUAAUUUUUCUUGGAAACAAAGUCAGCCUUUAUCAAACCAAGGAGGACAACAAUUCAACGUACCCAAUCAACAAUUUGUCCUUACUAACCAAGUAUAUCCUCCUGCCCAACAGCCUAUGUCUCAAUUUGUUACACCUUAGCAAAGAAAACCUUUUUCAGAUGAUACACUUCAAAGUUUCAUUCAGUCAACCCAACAAGCUUUUCAGUCAAACACUCAAGCUAUUCUAAAGCUUGAACAUCAAUUGGGUCAAUUAGCAACUGCUGUGGCUGAGAGAAAAAAAGGAAAAUUCCCAAGUCAGCCAGUUCUUAAUCCUAAAUGAGUGCAUAAAGUUGGAUCAACUUCAAGCCAUCAGUAUAAAGAAGCAAAAUCUAUUAUGACCUUGAGAAAAUGAAAAAUAUUUGACAACAAGGUGGAGGUUCGAACAAGAAAGACAUCUGAACCUACUUAUGCAGAUCCAGUUCCAUCACAAGACUCAUCACUAAAUGAUCCAGAAGAAAGUAAUCCACCAGCUUACAUUCCUAAGGCUUAUUUUCCUUAAAGGUUAACAAAGGUAAAGAAAGAGACUUCAACAUGUGAGAUUAUGGAAAUCUUCAGGCAUGUAAGUAUAAGCAUCCCUUUACUCGAUGCUAUUAAGCAAGUUCCUCAUAUGCCAAGUUUUUGAAGGAUUUAUGAACUAAAAAAAGAAAUUUGCAUGUCACCAAAAAUGCAUUUUUAACUGAACAAACUAGCAAUUUACUUCAAUAUAAAAUGCCACCAAAAUUUAAGGAUCCAGGUUCCCCUACUAUCUCAUGUGUUAUAGGGAACCAAUUGUUUGAUAAAGUAUUAUUGGAUUUGGAUGCAAGUGUUAAUCUCUUGCCUUACUUUGUUUACAUGCAGCUUGGAUUACAUAAAUUAAAGUCAACUUCCAUUAUUUUGCAACAUGCAGAUAGGUUAAUGAAAAUACCUCAUGGUAUUAUAGAGGAUGUGUUGAUACAGAUUGAUAAAUUUUAUUAUUUUGUUGACUUUAUUGAUAUUGAUACUCAGCAUGUACAGGAUCCUAAGAAACACACCCCAGUUAUUUUAGGUCGUCCUUUCUUAGCUAUAGUUGAUGCUCUUAUUAAUUGCAGGAAUGGAAACAUGCAAUUAUCUUUUGGUAACAUGACCAUGGAAUUAAAUAUUUUUAAUGUUCCUGAUAACUCUAGGAAAUGAGAGUUAUUACAUCAAUUCUAAACUUAAAUCAAGAUCACUUAGAGAACAAAUAAGGUGUUUUUAUUACAUUUUGGUUAUAUUUUGCAUAAACAUUCAUUUUAGUUAAGUUUUAAUAAGUUUUGUUUGAAUCAAAGUAAUUGGUGCUAAAAACAGGUGCAUAAUUGUAGGUUUUUAGAAAGUCUUAAUUCAUGAGAGGAUGGUGAGACAGUGGAUGAGCAAGAUGAGGAAAGAAGAUAGCUGCAGAAGAAGUAAAGCACAAUCGGGAAUAGUACAGUGUUGUAGCGGAUGUUAAAGCAACCAGUGCUAUAGCAAUCUGGGAGCAAUGCUGGAGAAAAUUUAGGCGUGGGUCAGCUGCAGAAUCGCGAUUUGCAUGUUUCCUAAUUUAACUCAUGCACGCUUAUGAACUUUUAUUUUACUCUAGUUUGCAGAAUAAAAGAGAGGCGUGCACCACAUAGAGAGGCGGCAAGAGGAAUUAUCAUAAAAAUCAUUAAAGAGAAAAAGAGAAGAAGAUCAGAAUUGAAGAGUGCUGUUUCGGCAACAUUGAGGAAUCUGGCAGAAUUAUUCGAAUUUGUCUUUCACUGUACUCAACUAAUAUUUAUCUUCUUCCUUUGAUUGUUUUAAUGUAUCCCGUGAACAACAUAUUUUUUUUUUUUUUUCUUAUUCAAAAUAUGAACUAUAUUUUCUUGUAGUUGAGUGACAAACAAUCCAAUGGGUUCUUGACUGUUCUUAUGUGUUUGAUUUUUUUACAAAUUUGUUUUCCAAGUCCAUUGAUUUUCUGCCUCUCUUACCAAUCAUGUUAGGCUUGGAAAUAUCCACUUUGGUAUUAUUAUUUUAUAAAUUUUAAUUAUUUUAAUUAUUUAUUAAUUAUUAGUAUUAUUAUUGUUAUUAGUUUUAUUAUUUUAAUUAUUAUUAUUGAUUAAGACUAGAAAGUGUACAUUUGAUAAAAGUUAAAAUUAUCAUUUUCCACUUACAUUGUUGAUAAGACUAACAAUGGCAUCAAAUUUACAAAUCCCUAACACAUUUUAUGAAUUUUCUAUUUUUAUUGGUUUUAAAGUAUGAUUUUUGUGCUUUGUAGAUAAAUCCCUAAAUUCAUGAUGUUUGGAUCGAAAAAGUGAACGUGAAAUUUAGAUUCUGGAGACUCAAAAUCCUUUAGAAGAAUUGCUACCCUUUUGAUCCAACAUUAAUUAUAAACGGUUGAGAUCAUGCUAUGUGUCUAAGCUAAAGUGCACCUUAUUGUACUAGAUUUAACACUUAUCAAUUUGAUAGAUCAACUAUCUUGACAAAUGAGCCUAUGGAAGAUCCCAUUUUGACCUCAUUUAUAGCCAUUGAUUAUAUUGAAUCCGACUAUUCAUAAUGGUUGCAAUUUUAAACCCUUGGAUUAUAUUAGUAAAGCUCAUUUAAAGGUUGUGGUUGCAAGCUCAUCGAAAAUAUUAUGUAAAUGUCCAACUUUAUCAACUCAAAAUUUGCUUAUAUAAAGGCAAGAGCUCUCACAAAUUUGUGUAGAGAAUUUAGAGAGAAGUUGGUAGAGAAUUGGUAGUGGAUUUUACAGGUGAGUUUUGUAGAGAAAUUUAAUGUAAAUCUAAAGUGAAUUUUACAGAAAAGCGUGAGUUUGGUGUAAAUCUAGAGUGAAUUUUAAGAAAAAGUGUGAGUUUGUUGUAAAUCUAGAGUUAAUUUUAGACCCUCAACAUUUUUUUAAUUUAAACUAUUCCUUAUUAAUUUUCUUUUUUACAAUUAUUUUUAUUUUAUAAUUAGCUAUUAUAUUUUUAAAUUCCUUAUGGGUUGACUCGAGAUUCACAAGUUAUAGUACAUCUAGACACUCUUAUAUUUGGGAGUAAUCAACUAUUUUUGAGUCAUGUUAAUUAUCAUUAUUUAUUAUUAUUGUCUUUAUUGUUAUUUUUUUAUUGUUAUUAUUAUUGUAAUAGAAACAAUUAAUACUUAGGAUAACAAUUAAAAAAAGAUAUUUUAGUAACUUAAAAUAAUUAAUUUUGAUUUUAAGAUAAAGUAAACAUAUUAAUAGUAAUAUAAUUCUGACUCAUAUAAUUUAAGUAAAUAAUUUAUUUUAAUAUAUAUUUUUCAUUUUAAUUUCAACUUAUUCCUAUUAGUAGUUAGACUUUCACCUUUGGAAGGCUCCAGGACUUGCUUAUUAGACCUUUGAUUUUUCCUCAAUUUGUUAUUCAAGUCCAUUGACUUUCUACCUCUAUUACCAGUCAUGUUGGGCUUGGAAAUCUCCACUUCUAGUAAUAAUGAGCAUGAACGUGGGCCAGAUUAUUUAAAUGGAUUCUCUAUUGGAGGUAGAUUAUUAGUUGUAAUAUUAGGAUCAUCAUUCGUCAGCCCCCUUCGCCGCAGAGAAAUUUUCUUAUCUUUAAAUUCCUGGCCCCCCUGUCUGUUGUGAAGGUUGAGUUGUGUUGGCGUUACCUCGGAUGUGAAGAACUGGCCAGAAUACUUCCAUGAGGGGCCAUGUCCACUUCUUCUACAGUGCCUAAAUGACUGCCCAAGAAGUGCCCCACCACUCUUUUGUCAAACAUACAAUCGGCAAAUUGUGAACCUAGUAACCAAAGUGACGCAUGAGAGAAAUCCAAUCAAGUUUGGAUAUGUCCCCCUUUUACCGUUGGCUGGACUAGACAAAUUUGGACCAUUCCUGUUAGGCUGAACUUUUUGAGUACAUUUUGAAAGUAACAACCAUAGUGACAUAAAUAAUGGACAUAAUACCAAUAGCACCAACAGUCCAAUGAUCCUUCUUUUUUAUUUAUUUAUUUUUUUUUUUUUGUUGGCUACAUUAUAGUUAUUCACUUAUUUUAUUUAUACUUAUUACAUAAAUUCAAACUCAUUUUGGGUACUAUAGUCAAUGGGCAUAAUUGUGAAAAGAAAUUUUGGGUGACUACUUGUGAAGGGGUGGAAUUUUCCUCCUAACACCCAUUUUCUUAAGAAACCGAUUAUUAAAAUUUAAAAACUUAAUUUUUACUCUACACAUCCUCUAUAUUUCCAAAAAGCUGACCUUAAUUAAAGAUAUACUUUUUUUUUAUUUUUUUCUACAAAUUUGUUUCUACAUCUGCAGCCACUUCUUACCUCUUCUGUUAGCGUUCUCGCUUUGUCUUCAUCUCAAAAAAGUACUGAAGUUGUUCUCUUAUCAAUCUCCACAAGAGCAUGCAUAUUAAUAAGGAGAAAUGAGACUUAAAUAAAUAAACAUGACAUAAUUAAAAUAUUUAAGAUUAUUAAAAUAAUAAUAUUCUGCUAUAAAAAUAUCUCUUUUCAACUUCCAGCCUGCUAUAAUACUUCUUGAAAUUUUUUUGGGUCGCAAACUCGCUUGUCCCUGUUUUAUAUUUGAUUUGCUCAAGGUUCAUAGAUGAGAAAGAAACUAUGGUAUCAGAAGCACCAAUUUCUAUUAUGUUGACACUUCUUGAGUUCGUAUCAUGUUGUUAGUUAGCUGCACUUGGGACUGCAAAGCUAUUCACGUUUUGGAUAAUUAUUUUAUGUUUCAGUUAAUAAAUUAAGUUUGUCCUAAUCUUUAGGAAGUUGUUAGUUUGUUCAACAUGUAUCAGCUUAUGGCUUGAUUCUCGGUCACUUAGUUUCUCAAUUUUUAUUAUUUAUUGUAAGCUUAAUGCAUAAAAGAAAUAAGAAUUUCCAGUAUUGCAUUCCCGCAUAUCUUUCUUUGUUCUUCCUCAAAACUCUUUAAACCUCUGUUUUUAUCUUUCCAAAUUAACACAUGUGCAUUCGCUUUGUUUGUUAUUAUUUGCGAAAUACUCUUUUAAAUUUGAAAAAGGAGAAUUUUUAAAUGAACGACCCAGAAGAAAAUGAAUUAGGGUUUAAUGUUGGGAUGACUUCUCUUAGGUGAGUGUAAAGAGAAUUAUUUCUUUACUAUAAAUUAUCUUAUUUUGUCUCCAGCAUUAAUUUCCUUUAAGGAUAAUUUAAGAAUAUAAUUUUUAUCAAAACAACAGGUGUAAAGAGUAUUUUUAUGAGUUCAAAUAUCUUGGAAAGGGUGAGAAUAACUAAUUUCCUUAUACUCUCUUUUUAAUUAAAAUUUUUAAUGUUAAUUUGGAUAAAAUUAUCUAAUUAUCUAUCUUCUAUCUUUCACACACGUUUCUUUUGUUUUGAGGGUGGAUCUACGACCACGCUCACAUUGUAGUAAAGGAGACUAUAUAUAAGUGUGUGUGGGUGGGUGUGUGUGUACACGCUUAAUAAUAGGACAUUAGGAGUCUUACCUUUAUGAAUACUUACUCUAAGCAAAAUAGUUAUAUAAAAAUGUAGAAAAUAAAAAUGCAAUUCAAAUACAAGCUAUAUAUUCUUCUUAAAAAAAUAAAUUAAAAGUUUAAAUAUAUUAAAAUCUCAAAUACUUAAAUAGAAUGAUUAAAUAAAUUAAGCAACUAAAAAUUGAUAUCUUUUCAAUUUUUCAAAAAGUAUUUUUAGUUAAAAAUAAAAAAUAAAUUAAGCCUAUUGGACACUCAAUAGCACACAACUUUGAGCUUGCUUCAAUUUAUAGAAAACAGCUUCCCUUUAGCACAGCAAUUUCUUCAUUAAAUUUCUCAAACAACAUGAGCUAUGUCUAAUAGAGCUUCAUUGUUUAAAAGACAAUAGAAUUUUAAAAUUAAUGAUAAGAUACUAAUAACUGAUAAAAUUUGAUAACUUAAUAAUAAAAUUCAACUUUAUUGCCUUAAUUAGGACAAUAACUUGAUCAAAAUUGACUUUAAAAUUAAGGUGAAAUUGGCUUGGCCGUAAAGUGAGCACUGAUAUUUGUCUUUUGUUAGUAGUUGAUCGGUGGAAAUUGGAAUAAAAGAAGAAAAUGGAACUUGAAAUUUUGACUUAAGUAUCCAUUUAAUAUUUGUAUUUUUUAAAAAUACCUUAAAACAACCUUAUAGUUAAAUAUGUUAGCCUAAAGGGUUACACAUAAUGUAAUUUUGAUGAUAACAAAAAUGUGUCUUAAGCGAUUUAAUAAAUAUUGUAUUUAACAUUUUCACAAGUUUUUGAAGGAUAAUAUUUAUGCAAGUGAAUCAAGUGAAAUCAAGUUCAAGACACUAAACGGAUAACGGCGAAAUAAAGAAUAAAGUUUAGAGCUCAACGGAUAAAUUAUUGCGACAAAUUCUUGUAAAGCCGAUAUGAUUUAAUUGAUACAUGAUUUAGAAUUUGAGAAGCUCAAGAGUUUAUUUAAAUAAUUACUUUUCAUAAACUAAAAUGUUUUAUAUUUAUAAGAUAAAAUAUUUUGUGAAUUUGAGUAAUUUGGACUAAAAUAAAAAGUUUUACAAUCUUUGAAUUUAAUAAGUAUUAUUUUAAAUUCUGAAAUUGAACCUAUUUGACAACAUUUGAAAUAUUUUGCAUCAUAUUAUAAUUUAUGAAAGAUUAUGGACCCGAAUGUAAUUCAAACAUUUGAAUUCGGAAAGAGAGUGCGGCUAACCCCCUGAGGGCUGGCGGCUAGCCGUCUGAGGAAAAUCUCAUAUUCUCAACUUUUGGAUAAAAUUGUAAGGAUUUGAGAACUUUGACAUUUAUGAAUAUUUUGUUAAACUUUGAAAAGGAUGUCUUUGAAACAUAUUAUUAUAUAUUGGGCCAUAACAUAGUUUCAAAAAGUUUUGGGAAUGAUAAAUAUUAUUUAAAAAUUCUAAAAUUGGAUCUUUUUGUAAAAUUUUAUGACAUUUGGGCUAUAGUACAAUUACAAAGAGUUUUAGACAAAAAUAUAAUUUUAUGAACAGUGUUAAGUGGCUAACUGCUUGGGCGCGGAAAUUUACCUAUAACGGCUAGUUUUCGAGCUUUAACUAUAAAAACUCAACUCCAACUUCAUUUUAAAUAUUAAUGUAAGGAUAAACAAGAUCACAUAACACAUAUUGAGCUUCCAUUUCGCAAAUCAUCAUUUAUUGAAUCAUUAUUGUGCUAUUAUUUACAUAUCCACUCUUAAAGAGAGUUUUUGUUGUAAUUUUCAUUUCUCAUCAAAUUGUGAGUGUACAAGUGUGAGAAACACUUGGGGUGAAGAGAUUUGGGAGAUAAUAUCUUGAUUGUAAAGGUUAUUGACACAUUGGAAGUCAAUUGUAAGAACUUGAGGCCUUGAGAGGCUUGGAUAGUGAAAUCUUUAGCUUGGUUGGCUUGGAGGUGUGGACGUAGGCGGAGAUUGCCGAACCACGUAAAAAUUAUUGUGUUUGAUUUCUAUUCCCUUACUAUUUUAUUAUUGUGCUUUACUAAAUUUAUUGUUUUUGUAUUUGAUUAAGGCAAUAGAUUAAAUUGUUUAGCAUAAGUUUUAAAAUCCCAAUUCACCCCCCCUCUUGGAUUGCAUAACUUGCAUUUCAAAAUAUAUUACAUUCUUUCUUUUACUUUUUUUACAAAAAUACCUUUCUAAUAAUAUUCUUGACAUUAAUUUAUUUAUUAAUAAGAAAUUAAUUAACAAAUUAACCAAUACUUAUUUACUAAACCAAUAAAUAUUGAUGUAAAAGAAUUAUUAUUAUUUAUUUAUGCAACAAGUUUACUAAUAAUUAUUUAUAAAUAAAAUUAAUAUCAAUCAACUUAAAUCAAUUUUUAUACAAAAAUACCCUUGCAAUAAAAUUCUUGGGAAUACCAAUAAAAAGAAAAAAAUUUUAUCAAAUUGACUUAGAAAUAACAUAAAAAUUUACACAAACUUUUAUAUUAUUAUAAUUUUUUUUUUUUACUUUUAGGAUUAACUUAGGAAAUUAUUUUUCUAUAAAAUAAUUAUUAGUAAGAUUGCUAUAAGGAUGUUUGACCCACUCAAAUCAACCCCCACUCUUUAAUUAACAAAAAAAUAUUACCAAAAUUACCUUUUAAAAAUAAAUAUAGUUUUUUAUUUUAAUUUUUGGUCUCUCUCAAAAUUCAUCAUAUUGAAUUCUUGAUCUUCUAAUAUAAAACGGCAAAGCCAUUAGUAAGAAUUAAAUCUGCAAUAAAAAUAUAAUGAUUUGUAUGGGGUUCAUAUCCGGAAAAACAAAAUAAAUUUAUAUCAUGGGGUUAUCAUUGUUUCUCUAAAUUCAUUUUACAGCUAAAUUUUCUUACUAUUCAUGCAAGCAAACUUUUCAAUUGCAUAUCAGACUGCGAUGGUGGUGAGGAAAAAAAAAUAAACAAUUUUUUUUUUACAUUUUAAGGAUAAUUUUAAAAAUAAAAUGAUUAAUUGAAUACCGGAAAAUAAUGAGAUCAAUUAAAGGAUCAAAUAUCAUUUCAAAGCUAUGGUAAUGUGCGCUGACAAAACCUCUCAACUGCCACCGGCGGCUGACCGAUCUACCAAGAAAGCAAAGUUUAAGGCUCAAGGGGCAGAUGGGGAUAACCCAUCUCCUUUGUCUUUCCGCGACAUGCUAAUGGACAUGCACGAACAAUCUGAUAGUGGGAAGUUUGGCCGGAAGGAUGACUGGGAGUUGGAGGAGGAUGAUGUGACGUACAGGGAGGAGGAACCUAUGCCAUUCAUAGCAUUCUCAAGCAGAGUUCAUGAACGGUUAGUGGAACCCUGGGAAAACUCAGUGGUGGUCAAAAUAUUAGGGCGCAACUUGGGGUAUCGUGUUCUCAGUUCUCGGUUGAACAGGAUCUGGAGUUCUACCACAAGGUUUGAAAUAAUUGAUUUAGCUAAUGAUUAUUUCCUGAUCCGUUUCUACAACAAAAAGGAUGUGGAGUAUGCCCUUACUGAGGGACCAUGGACGGUGAUGGGGCAUUAUUUAUCAGUGCAGAAAUGGUCUCCAGACUUCGAUGUAGUUAAUAAUAAAAUCAACCGCAUCAUGGCUUGGAUCCGUCUGUCUCAAAUGAAUAUUCAAUUUUAUCAUAAGAGUAUUAUCCGGCGACUAGGGCACAUUAUUGGUCCAGUCAUCAAAAUUGACAAUAACACAAUUACGGCACAGAGAGGCAAAUUUGCUCGUCUUGCGGUUGAAUUAGAUCUUCAGAAGCCUCUAGUUUCUCAGUUUAAUCUUGAAGGAAGGAUUCAAAAAGUGGAAUAUGAAAAUUUGCCGACGAUUUGUUUCGGUUGUGGUAAAUUUGGCCACUUCAAGGAUGCAUGUCCUGAUAGUGCUGACAUUAACAUCAUGGCCAAGGACAAUCCAGCCCCUCCUACGGAGGCUGAGGGGCAAGCCGUUGUGGUGGCUGCAGCAACUGACUACCGAGAGCCUAAAUUUGGAUCGUGGAUAGUGGUGGCCCGCCAGCCGCGCCCUCGUAAAGUCUUCGCCAAGGAUAAUCCUAAAGUUCAAGAUAAGGAUCGGUACAUGCCAAAAACUAGCCAGUCUCUGUUUGGUGUUUUGGAAGACCUUGAUAUUGAGGAUGAGAUCUCUCAAGAUCAUGAUACAGACCCCGGUUCUCAACGGGAACCUAUGAUGCAUGUAUCGGAGAGCAUCCAAUUCCUAGCCCCAAAACCUCGGAGCAUGAAAACGAAAAACCCUAGUCAACUCACUCGGAAAUACCCCCCUCGUCAAGUUUCCAUCACCAUUCCUCCAAGUCAACACGUAACUGAAAAUUUUGACCCCAAUACUCAAAUUCCCACUGAUUAUUCCCACCAAAAUAACCAACCCCCAGCCAUGCAUGGCAUGCAUGCUCCACCCAAAUUUUCCACGUCCACUCAUUCUGCUCCAUCUAAUGCCGCCUCCACUUCCAUGCAUGGUAUGCAUGCUUAUCAUAAUCAUGGCCAACACAAUCCAGGUCCAUUUCCAGUAUCCAUCACCCUUAACCCGCUACACCAUAGUGCCGUAUCUUUCUCCAAGACUUUUUCCCCAAAGGCAACUAAUCAUCCCCCCUCUCAACCUGUUGGUGACCCCUCUCUUGUUGGUGAACCACCGGACAAGGGCAAUCUGAAUGACCCUUACAUUAUGGAAGCCAUUGUUGAGCCUGAAGACUCCCCAGUUGCAAGCAGGAGUGGCUCUCCUUUGUCUACUACUGAUAUCUUAUUUGUUGCUGAUUCUGGCAUGGAAAUUGAGGCUGCGGCUUUGGAGUCCUCCCAGUAACUCCACUUGUUUCCCUUUCCAAUAAAUUUUAUGUUUAUUAGAACCAUGUUUUGGAAUUCUCAAGGUGCAGCGUCACCGUCUUUUUGUCGUUCCUUUUCGGUUUUAGUUCAGAAUUACAAGCCUUCCCUGGUUGUGUUGAUGGAGCCCCGUAUUAGUGGUUAUAAGGCUGAUCAUUUUAUUAAAAUAAGUGGCUUUGACAAAUCAUUCCGGGUGGAAGCAGAGGGUUUUUCUGGUGGCAUUUGGGUCCUAUGGAAAGAUAUUUUUUAGGUUGAGAUUGUUGCCAGCCAUUCUCAGUUUGUUCAUCUUCGAAUUUCCAACAACAAUAAUGUUCUCUCUUGGUUGACAGCUAUUUAUGCAAGCCCUAACCCCAGUCUUAGAAAAUAUCUUUGGAGUGAGCUAGAUAAUUUAGCUCAAACAGUUUAUGGUCCCUGGAUUUUGGGUGGGGACUUUAACACUAUUUUGUACGAUUCGGAAAAGAAAGGUGGGUCCCCUACAGGCACAGGAGCUUGCACUCUCUUCCAGUCUUGGUUCAACCUUCACAACAUGCAUGAUCUUCAAUCUCAUGGGCCACGUUUUACUUGGUCACGUGGAAGCCUAUUAAAACACCUUGAUCGCGUUAUUUGCAACAGUGAGUGGGCUCGUACCUUUUCCAAUUCUUUUGUGCUCCAUCUGCCGAAACUGAACUCUGAUCAUAGGCCUAUCCUGGUGCGAAGUACUGAUUUGUCUUCGAGAGUUUCGAUCUCUCGUCCUUUUCGGUUUCAAGCGGCUUGGCUUACUAAUGAAGGUUUCAAAGAAUUUGUGUCUGAAUCUUGGGAUCAGAACCUUCAUUACUUAGAUGGUGCUAAUAAAUUUCGUCAUAAGGUUACUGAAUGGAACAAGCAGUGUUUUGGGAAUAUUUUUUGGCGGAAAAAAUGUUUAUUAGCUCGUUUGGGAGGGAUUUAGCGGGCUUUAGAAAGAUAUUACUCUAAAGGGUUAUUAAAUCUUGAGAAACAACUAAACGCGGAUCUGGAAGAGGUGCUCACCCAAGAGGAAAUUAUUUGGCAUCAGAAAUCUCGGAGGGACUGGCUGCUUCUCGGUGAUCGUAAUACAUGUUACUAUCAUCACAAAACUCUUUCUAGAAGAAAACAAAAUAAUAUAGCGGCCAUCCAAAACAAUGCAGGGCUUUGGCUUUAUGAGGAAGAGGAAAUUAAAUCUCAUGUAAUUCAGUUCUACUCAACGUUAUUCUCUUGUGAUUCUCCUGACCUUCAGCACUACCCCCAUCCAAAUUGUUUUCCGCUUAUUAAGGAUGACUUGCUCCAUACCUUAAAUAAGUGCGUGGAGGAUGCUGAAAUUAAACAAACUAUCUUCAGCAUGCACCCUCUGAAAGCCCCGGGUCCUGAUGGUCUCCAUGCCAUUUUUUAUCAGACGCAGUGGAACACUGUGGGCUCUCCUUUAUGUCGUUUGGUGAAAGCUGUUUUCCAUGAAAAAUAUAUUCCUUUGGGGCUCAAUUCCACGCUGAUUGCUCUCAUUCCCAAGACAGAAAGCCCCUCCUCGUUGAAAAUGUACCGUCCUAUCUCCCUUUGCAAUGUUGGCUAUAAGACUAUCACCAAGCUGUUGGCUAAUCGCCUUCAAUCUAUUUUACCCUCUCUGAUUGGCCCCCAUCAAACUAGCUUCGUCCCUGGUCGUCAUAUCACGGAGAACAUCGUGAUUGCUCAAGAGGUUGUUCACUCUAUGCGCAAGAAGACGGGCUCUACUGGUUUUAUGGCUAUUAAAGUUGAUUUAGAAAAGGCUUAUGAUCGUCUCAGUUGGGAGUUUAUCAGUGAUACUCUGCGUGAAGCUCGCAUUCCUUCCGAUCUUAUUCAUGUUAUUAUGGCAUGCAUCACUUCGGUUACUAUGAGGGUUUUGUGGAAUGGGGAGGCUACGGAUGAAUUUUCUCCUUCCCAAGGAAUUCGUCAAGGCUGUCCAUUGUCCCCUUACCUAUUUGUCCUUUGCAUCGAACGGCUCAGUCACGGGAUUCGCAAUGCUAUUAGUGCCGGGAAGUGGCGUCCGAUCGGGUUAUCUCGCCAUGGAACACGUUUAUCUCAUCUUUUUUUUGCGGAUGAUCUUCUUUUGUUUGCAGAGGCUACAGUUGAGCAAGCUAGAGUUAUUUCAACAGUGUUAGCAGAAUUUUGUGCUUGUUCUAAUGCCAAAGUUAAUACAAGUAAAACUCUGCUUUAUUUUUCAAAGAACAUAGGUGCCAGAGAUGUCUCUGCAAUUUCGGGUCUUCUUGGCUUCUCAGUUACUUCUGACCUCGGCAAAUACCUUGGGGUCCCUCUUCACCAUUCAAGGGUUUCUACCAAUAUGUAUAAAGGGAUCAUCGAUAAGGUGGAGAAGCGGCUGUCGGCUUGGAAUGCCUCUCAUUUGUCCUUGGCUGGCCGCAUCACUCUAGCUCAGUCAGUUCUCCAGGCAAUUCCCAUCUAUGUUAUGCAGACUGUUUCCCUUCCUCGUGGGGUUUGUGAGAAAAUCGAUAGAGCGUGCAGGAGGUUUAUUUGGAGCGGUUCGUCUCCUCAACAGAAGCUCAACAUGGUUAGUUGGAAGAUUGUGUGCAAGCCUAAAGCUUCUGGCGGUCUUGGUUUCAAGUCUUUGGCAAUGAUGAAUCGGGCUUUACACAUGAAGCUAGCUUGGGGCAUAAUCUCCUCUUCGAAUAAUUUUUGGGUCCAGGUCCUUACUUCGAAGUACAAAGUGGAUCCUUACAACUUGCCUCCCGUCCUUCCAACACGCUAUGGUUCUCACUUGUGGAAGUCUCUUGGGCAGGUUUGGAGUGAGGCUCUUGCAAGCAGGCGCUGGAGUUUGGGUGAUGGUCAAUCUGCUCGUUUUUGGUGGGAUCUUUGGGUCACUGAUACGGUCCCUUUAAUCGCAUGCGCAACAAAUACUAUACAUGUGGGCAUUUUGGAUUGUAAGGUGGAAGAUCUUGUUGAUGUAAAUGGGGCUUGGUGUUGGCCUCGUUUUGAUCGAUAUCUUCCCAACCAUAUUGUUCUACAAAUAGCUGCUCUUCACCCCCCUUCCCACGUGAAAGGCAUGGACACUAUCUUUUGGGCUCAUUCAAAACACGGAGCUUUUUCUACAAGCUCGGCGUAUUUGGCUCUCUCUGAGUACGAUCCAAAGUCUGAAGAUAGAGAUUGGCAGUUAGUAUGGAAGUGGAAAGGCCCUCAAAGCGUGAGAAUCUUCUUGUGGCAAGCGUUUCACGUUGGUUUGAAAACUAAGGCUGAGUUGGCUCGGCGGCACUUACCCAUCUCGCCUUGUUGUGAUCGUUGUAGGGCUGUGUGUGAAGAUAUUACGCGUGCUCUACGUGAUUGUUGGUUGGUUAAGCAGUUUUGGCUCAACAUUAUUCCGACAAGCAAACGUCACAGUUUCUUUAAUUCUCGGCUUCAUCUUUGGCUAUGCUCGAAUCUGGUUGUUAAUCGUAAGGUAGGGAAUGUUUCAAACUGGGCUGUUUUUUUUGGAGUGGCGAUAUGGCGGAUCUGGUAUUGGUGUAAUCAGUUUCUCUUUAACAAAUUGAUGUUAGACCCUUUGGCUUUGUUGGUGGAUGUCCAUACAAGAGCUGAGAAGAUUCACAAGCUUCAUAACCACCUGUUGCUCACUAGGAAUAUUAGGACUCACAUGUGGAUUUCUUGGCAUCCUCCUGAGUGGCCCUGGUGUACUCUGAAUACGGAUGGUGCUCACAAGUCUCACGGAAAUUCUACUGCAGGUGGUUUAAUUCGAGAUCACUUAGGACGUUGGCUAAUAGGCUUUGGGAUGAUGAUUGGUUCUUGCUCUAUUACUGUCGCGGAGCUCUGGGGCUUAUAUCAAGGGUUUCAGCUUGCAUGGAAUUCUGGUAUCCGUAGAUUGAAAGUUGAAACGGAUAGCCUUUGCGUUACUCAAUUGGUGGCUAGACCUUCGGUGGUGACCAAUGAAUAUGCUCCCUUGGUCCAGGCUAUAAAAGAUUAUCUCAAAUUGGAUUGGCAUGUUUCCAUUUCUCACAUCUACAGAGAAGCAAAUUUUGCUGCAGAUUAUAUGGCGAACCUCGCUUUUUCUAUUCCGCUAGGCUUUACUGUGUACCCUUCCCCCCCUUUGGGCGUUAGGGCUCUGUUAUUGCAUGACUCUUACGGGGUUUCUCACCCCCGUUCUGUUGUUCUCUAGCUCUUCUUAGAGCCCCAAUUAAUCAAAAAAAAAAAAAAUCAUUUCAACAAAAGUAUUAUUAUUAUUAUUAUUAUUAUUAUCAUCAUUAUUUAUUUUUUAAACUGGUUCAAAUGUGCUCUAUUUCAUUAUAUUCUUAGAACUUGAGUUAAACUUGAAAUUGUCACUCUCUUUGCACAAUUUAAGAGAGUAGGUUCGCAUCUCAAGGAAUUCUAUAUUUCAUAUUUGUCACGAGUAACAAACAAAAAAAAAAAAGAAGAAAAUCUAGAAAUUGUAAAUGGAAAAUAUGAGAAAUUUGAAAUUACCUGCAAAAUGAUUUUAUCCAGUCAAGAUGAGACGGUGAUCAUUCAAGAUAACGAAUAGAUUCCUUUCAAGAUUACAACUGGACAUGAGCUGACAGCAUUUUUUUUUUCUCUCUUUUUGAGCUUUUGAGAAGAACAGGAGAGCACGUUUUUUUUUUUUUUCAUUUUUUUCUUUUUUUUUGAUGCUAGGAGAGCACGUUAAUUAAACAAACAAACACCAAUCGACAAAAUUAUAAACGACAAGAACAAUUAUUUCAUUCAAGUUUAUGUGGUGAUAAUUCAAUAUAACAUUGGGGCACGAUGAGGAUGGUCAACAGACAAAUUACCAUCACAAUAAACGUGUCAAAUAAUUGCAGGUGCGCCCCGAAGAGAGGAAGAAUCUCCAAAUUAUCGGAUAAUGAUAGCAGAAUGGUAUUGCUUCAGAAGUAAUCUUGUAUUAAUUCUGAAUUUGUCCUGAGUACUGAAUUAAUAAUCAAUAAUUAUUUUACGUGGCCCUCAAAUAAUUGCUGUCUAUUUAUCUAAUGUUCAGGAUAAGCUCAGAUCAGCACCGGAUCCGUUUUCCAAUUUUUCUUCCCCAAAUUCUGUUUCUGUACACUGUAAGUAUUUUUCAUCCUCAUUUUCUUGUAUCCAUUUUGCGUGGCCCUCAAAUAAUUGCUGUCUAUUUAUCUAAUGUUCAGGAUAAGCUCAGAUCAGCACCGGAUCCGUUUUCCAAUUUUUCUUCCCCAAAUUCUGUUUCUGUACACUGUAAGUAUUUUUCAUCCUCAUUUUCUUGUAUCCAUUUUGCGUUAUGUCACCAUUUAUUUUCAUCUCGACAUUUGGUUUCAAUUAGAUCACCGGAGGAAAUACGAUGGGAAGAACACAGAUCAUCUCAAAGAGCACCGUCUGUGCAGCAAUUCACAAGGAACCAAACCUUAGAAUCGAUUUAACUCUAUGGGAUCUUAAGCUCAUUCAAUUUGAUACCAUUCAGAAAGGACUUCUCUUCCGCAAACCUUCAGAGGAUAACACCGAUACCAGCAGCUUGAACUUGAUCCACCACCUCAAGACCUCCCUUUCACGUACGCUAGACUACUUUCCCCCACUUGCCGGUCGCCUAGCCACCAUCGAGCAUCGUGAUGACAGCAACACAAUUUCUGUUUACAUAAAUUGCAACAAUGCCGGCGCAGAGUUUGUGCACGCCAUGGCCGAUGGAGUCUCUGUUGCAGAUAUCAUUACACCUGUUUAUGUUCCUAAUGAAACUGUUUACUCUUUUUUCCCACUAAAUGGAGUAACAAACUGUCAGUGUAUCUCCGAGGCCAAGCCGUUGCUUGGGGUUCAAGUGACAGAGCUUGUGGAUGGAAUCUUCAUCGCUUGCACUAUCAAUCACUCCGUUGUUGACGGCACUUCCUUUUGGCAUUUCUUCAAUUCCUGGUCUGAAAUCUCACGGGGUUCUGAUUGUAUUUCAAAAGUUCCAGUUCUCGAACGUGGGUUUCUCUCUGAAUCAGAAUAUUUUCCCAUUCGCCUCCCUCUCUGGAGCAUUGAACCUUCCGGAACUCGCACUCCACCGCCUAAUUUGCAACAAAGGUUUUCCACUUUACGAAGGAAAACGUUGCAAAACUCAAAGCAAAAGCCAAUGCUGAGAUUGGUAGUACCAACAAAAUCUCCUCUCUCCAAGCAAUCCUUUCCCAUAUUUGGCGAUCUGUUACUCGUAAUCGAUCUCUUGAUCCUGAUGAAGAAGUUCAUUUCAUGUUAGGAAUGGGAGUUAGACAAAGAUUGCAACCACCACUGCCACCAGAAUAUUUUGGAAAUGCAGCUCAGGUACUGGGAGAGUUCGCAUCCAUGAAAGCUUAACAUAUAGACUUUGUAAAUUAUUUUGAAUGCUUAACAUAUUUCUUUUAAUGUGAUCAAUAAAAGUUUUAAAAGCAGUCUAACAGAUUAAUGAUAAAUAAAUUUGUUUCAUAUUAAAAAUAAUUCUCGAUGACUUGAUAAUCCUGUGAAGAAGUUCCUUUCGAACUAUCGAUAGGAGUUAGAAUAAGAUUGCAACCAUCACUGCCGCCUGAUGAAUAUUUCGGAAAUGCAAUUCUAUAAAGCGGGAGAUCAAAUUGAAUAUGCGGCACUGCGAAUGAGCAAUGUUAGUGAAACUGAUAAAAUGUGAAGAACAGAGGAAACGAGUACAUGCUGUCACUAUGUAUUUGACAGCAGCUGAAUAGCUCACUCAGCUGACGUCGCUUAGUUAGUUAUUUUGAUUUAAGCAUUCUUCACAUGUGUGUAACAAAUUGCCAACAAUUAGUAACAAAUUGCCAACAAUUAGUAACAAGUUGCUUCACUUGCUAUAUAUAUGUAUAAUCUGUACUCAUUCGAUUAAUGAGAAGUUUUUACAAGUUUCCAUUAUGAGUUUUUCAUUCAUUUUCCUUUUAACUUUCUCGCUUCCCAAACACAAAUACUUGAGUUUCUAUCAUGGUAUCAGAGCCAUCAAUGGUGUUGUAAAAAAUUUUAAUAUACUCGUAAGCGCACAAAUGUAGAAUAAAAUAAUGGUAAUAAUGUCAAACCCACAGGGAUUAUUAUAAAUUAAAAAGUCUAAUUUAAAUAAAUUAAUAUUAAUUCUAACCUAGUUGAACAAAUUGAGUUUCUAAUAAAAUUACACCAAUUAAACUAAGAAAACAAUUAAAACAAAGGAGAAUUUAAUAAGACAAAAAUUACUAAUGUUUCAGAAUCCACCACUAAUCAACUAGUAAUUACCUAAUUAUUAAUUAAUCCCCAAUUUUAGAGUGACAACUCGAAAUCAAUUUAUAUCAUCUCAUGGAUAUAACAAUUAAGCCCAAAUAAAAUUAAUCUUGUGUUGGUUCUUUUUCUUCUUAAUAAUAUGAUAUCUAAGCAUCCCAUGUAAACAUAUUGAAUAACAAAGAGUCAAAGUUUUCCGAAGCACUCUGUGUAAACAAUUUAAUGAAAGACACAGAAUCAAAGAUAAUCAUGUAUAAAUUUUAAAGACUCAAGCAUAAAUUUAAUCGGAUAUUAAGUGUAACAAUCAAUAAUACAUGACAGAAUUGAUGAAAAGAUUUUAAUAACAUUCAACUAAUCAUGUGAAACACGAACCAUAAAUAUUAAAGAACAUAUGUAGAGAAUUAAUUAAAUAAAAAGAUAAUUAUUUCAUUAAAUAGAGUUUCAUCUUUAACCUCAGUAUAAAAAAAUUAGUUAGACACACUUAAAUAGAGAAUAACAAAUAAAAUAAAAUCAGCCAUGGAGAAGCCGAACUGUUGUUGCUGCUGCCACUCCUCUUCAAAGCCAAAUACUCCCUCUUUUUCUCUCGUUUGGCGGCUGCCCUCUCAAAAACCAAAGUUGGCUUUUUAUAAUGCUUAGCCACCCACUGACUUAACAAAGCCCACUCACCAAGCCCUUUUUAAAUUGUUUCCUUAUUAAGGGUUGAAAACUAGCCACACGUUUAACUUAAAAGUAAAAGGCCAAUUAAUAGUUUCUUCUUUUAAUGCCCUGCACAUGCAUUCCAAAUUGCCAAAUCUUUGCUUUCCAAAUGCAUGCCCACCAGUCAUUAUUUGAUGAGAUUGACUUCCAAUUUUGGUCUUCUUGACUUCCAUUAAUUCUUGACUGUAUUUUUGUCUUCUAAUUUAAUCUUUAUUCCUUCCCAAUUUGAACUUCUUCAUGCCUUUUUUAUCCUUAAUCUUCAAUUAAUUUCCUAUUGAAUAAAAUAAUUCAAUUAAUUAAAAGUAAAAAAUAAAAAUAACUAGUAAAUAUGUAAUUACGGGUAAAAUAUGUAUAUAAAUUAUGAUCAUCAAAUGGCAAGCAUGAUUCAAUCCAAUACAUCCUCCUCUCCUUCAAAUAAUUCCCUACCUCAUAUCCUUCCUGCACCUCCUCCCAUUGGUCAUCCUAUGACGACCAGAUCCAAGAAUGGCAUAUUCAAGCCAAAGUCUUAUCUAUGUGCUCUUUUAGCCUAAUCAUUUGAACUUUCCUCUGUCUCUCAAGCUUUAUCUGAUCCAUUAUAAUUCAAAGCCAUGCAAGAAGAAUUUCAAGCCUUACAAGCCAAUCACACAUGAGACUUGGUACUACCUACUGCUCAUGUUAAAGUGGUUGGUAACAAAUGUGUUUUUAGAAUAAAAUACAACCUGAUGGGUCAAUACUAAAGUACAAAGCACGACUGGUUGCUAAAGACUUCCAUCAGAUACAUGGUAUUGACUACACUGAAACCUUUAGUCUAGUAGUAAAAGCCUCUACUGUCAGUAUUACUGUUAUGAAUAAUUGGGUUCUUCGGCAAAUAAAUGUCAAUAAUGCUUUUCUAAAUGGUAUUCUUGAUGGGGAAGUGUAUAUGACACAUCUCGAAGGAUUUAUUGAUCCUCAUAAACCUUAGCGCAUAUGCAAAUUGAGGAAAGCUAUCUAUGGUUCGAAACAAGCUCCAAGAGCUUGGUUUGCCAGACUUAAAACAACAAUGCUUUCUUAGUGGCAUUUUUAGAGCUCUAAGUCAGACAAUUCACUCUUCUAUAAGAGAGAAAAUUGUCAUUUACUUUUGGUUUUGGUAUAUGUGGAUAAUAUUAUUGUUAUUGGUUCUAGCUCAGCGAAAGUUCAACAAGUAAUUCAAGAUAUGUAGAAGACUUUUGCCUUGAAGGAUCUAGGAGAACUCAACUAUUUUUUAGGCAUUGAAGUCUCAAAACUUCAAAAUGUCAUUCAUUUAUCCCAGGCUACGUACAUUGCUGAUAUUUUGGCAAAAGAUGACUUAGUUAAUUGUAGUCUAGUGCCAACACCUAUGUCUACAGGUCAGCAACUCACCAAAGACUCAGGUUCUGAAAUUUCAAAUAUUUCUCAGUAUAGAAGCAUUAUUAAGGCCCUAUAAUAUGUUACUCUCACUAGACCAGAGAUAGCCUUUACUGUCAAUAAGCUUAGCCAGUUUCUAUCUAAUCCUAGAACUACACAUUGGGAGGCUUGCAAAAGGUUGUUAAGAUAUCUAAAAGGCACAAUUCAUUUUAGUCUUCAAUUUUACAAUUGUGGAGCUAUGCAGAUCAACUCUUUUACAUAUUCAGACUGGGCUUGUGAUCGGGAUGAUAGAAAAUCAGUAGUUGGUUUUGCUGUUUAUCUAGGUGCCAAUCUGGUUUCAUGGUCAUCCACGAAACAAUUAGUUGUCUCAAGGUCCAGUACAAAAGCUGAGUACAGAGCUUUGGCUCAUGCUGCAUCAGAGGUCAUUUGGAUAUAGUUUUUACUUGUUGAGCUAAGAAUUCAGCUAAGUACUACACCAAUUAUGUGGUGUGAUAACCAGGGAGCAAUUGCCUUAGCUUAUAAUUCAGUUUAUCAUGCUAAAACAAAGCAUGUUGAGCUGGACAUUCAUUUCAUCAAAGAUAGAGUGGGAUCAAAAGAAAUAGUUAUUUGUUUUGUGCAUAGUGAAGAUCAAACAACAGAUGUCUUAACUAAGGCUCUUACUUUCACUUAGUUCCAUUACUUGCGCAGUAAAUAAAAUGUUUAUCCCAGAAACGCCAGUUCCAGAGGGGAUAUAAGUAAAGAUGAUAAUUUGUGAAGAAUAAAAGAAGGGAGUAAUGUGAAAAGCAGAAACUCCAGCUUAAGAGAGGAUGUUAGUGAAACUGAUCCCUUGGAGUCCUGGAGACAAAACCUUGUGGUCUUAACAUGGGAAAGCUAGAAGACGAAAUCUUAUUGGUUUCCAAAUAGUUCGUCGAGGUUCAAUAGCAAUGAGAAGUGGUAUAAGGAAUAAUGCUUAUGGAAAUAUCACUUUGUUUACAGGAGUGGAAGAAGGUAAUGUCGACAUUGAAGCUUGCUUUUUGCCGGAGACACAACAGGGUAUAGGACAUGAGACAUAGUUCAUGCCAUCUACGUGUUAACGUCUUUGGUGAUCCUAAAAUAUUACUUUCUAAUCAUUCAUUUACACGUUAUCACGUGUAAAUGAAUGGUAUCAUAAUUAGUUAAAAGCACACAAAUGAUAAAAAGUGAAUUCAUUACUAUAACUAUGCUUUAUUUAGGCACCUCAUGCAAUAAAUUAUUUCAUCUCAAAACUCAAUUUAAUAAUUAAUCCCAUGAACAUCCAUUCGUUAGAGCAUGACAACAAAAUUUAUGUAUGGCAUAUGUGGCAGAGCAUAAUAGUUGUAGAGAAAUGGAAAUUGAAAGGAAGGAGUUGGUAGCUUAUAACUGUGAUUCAAGUUUUUGCUUUAGAAUCUUUCAAAAAAAAAAAAGUUUUUGCUUUAGAAAUUUUUUGACUCGACCUAGUAAACUGGUCAAUACCUCACGUGCUCAUUAAACUAUCAAAUUUGGGGCCCAAUUUGAUGGGCCUAGUUGGUUGCAGUGUUGGGUCUGGUUAGUCUCAACAAAUACUGGUCGUAGCCUCGUAGGCAGUUCGCAUUAGAGAUUUAUAAUGAUUGUAAUGUGUGAAUGAGUAAUAGAAAGCUCUAUUUAUUGGCACAAGGAGUAACCUUUGUGCGGUUGUGCAGAUAAAAAGAGAAAACAUGUAGUGGGUUAUAUGAAAUUAAAAGUAAUAUGUUGUUAUAAACACAAUUAGAAAACUCCUGAUUUAAGCCAUAAAAGCCUUCAACUCAACACUAAAGUAUUCAGGGAACUACACUUAUGGUUUGAAUAGAAAUGCACAACCAUGGUUCUAAUACCAAUGGCUAAAAUAAUUUUAAGCUUUACGGCAAUGAAUCCAUUCAACAUAUUUCAUAAGGGAGAAAAACUGCAUUUUAUCUUGGUUGGCCAUGAAAAAGACUUGCUGGUCAGCUUGUUUCUUGCCCGUUAAUUCAACCUUUUGUUCUUGACUUCAAUCUCAACAGCAAAAUCAAGCUCCUCAUUCACUGCACACACACACAAUUAGGAGAAAGGAGAAAAAGAAAGACAGUGUAUAAUGGAACUGCAUUUUAAAGAAAUGUGUAGAAAACAAUCAAAACCUCUACAGAAUUCUUAGUAUUUUUGUCAACACAAUACUUCUUCUUUUAAAGACAUUUAUGCCAUAGUACAAAACCUUAGCCUACAAGAUUUGUACACACAAAAUGAAAAAAGAGCCAAGUAAUUCAUGAAUAAAAAACAUAGAGCAAAGAAGGGAUAAGUAACAUAAACACGCACACGAAAUUGGCACAGAUGAACAAAGAACGAGUUGCAAGCUCUUUAUUACCGAAAGAAACGAGCCCCAUAUCAUAUGAUCUCCCUACAAGCUUUACAAUGAGCUAUCAUAUGCUUUCUAACUCUCAAAGAUUAACAAGUUACAGGCCUUAGAAACUGCCCUCGUAAAUUCAUUUUACAGCUAAAUUUUCUUGCUAUUCAUGUGAUGAGCAUAUACUAUAUACAUAUUUUACCCUUAAUUAUAUAAUUGCUAAUUAUUUUUAUUUGAUAUUUUUAAUUAAUUAAUUAUUUUGUUGAAUAAAAAAUUACGUGGAGAUUAUGAAUAAAAAAAAGGGCAUAAAGGAGCUCAAUUUCGGAAGCAUUAAUUAAUUGAUUUUCGGAGCAAUUAGGCAUAUUUGCAUGUGAAGUCAAGCCAAGGAAACCAAAUUCAACAAAUUAAUUCAUCCAUGCACAUGAAGACAAAGAAGAUUAUGGCCAUCACGUGAGAAGCAAUCACCAUUAUUGUUAGCAUGUGCAUGGCAUUAAAAAAAGGGAUUCUAAUGCAAUUCUAAGUGGUGAACACGUGUGAGAGCAAAACAAAUUAAAAGGCCAAGCCUUUCGGCUUUAGAGUUGGAAUGGUUGGUGGCUCAUUUUGGAGAUUAUAAAAAGAAAUAUGAACUUUGGCUUUUAAGAGGCCAACCGCAAGAAGAGAAAAAAGAGUGCAACGUUAGGCAUUCGGCAGAGGAGAAAAUAGCGGCAGAAGCUCUUUAAUUCUUUUAUGGUUGGUUUUAUUUUAUUUGUUGCUCGCAAUUCAAGUAUGUCUAGCUAAUUUUAUUUUACUGAGGUUAAAGAUGAAACCUUAUUCAAUGAAAUAAUUAUCUUUUUAUUUAAUGAAUUCCCUACAUGCGUGUUUUAAUGUUUAUGUUUUUUUAUUUUACAUGAUUAGUUGGAUGUUAUUAAAUCUUUUCAUCAAUUCUGUCAAGCAUUAUUGAUUGUUAGGAUUAAUAUUCAAUUAAAUUUAUGCUUUGGUCUAUAAAGUUUUUAUAUUAUUAUCUUUGAUUCUAUAUCUUUCAUUAAAUUGUUUACAUAGAGUGCUUAGGAAAAUUUUGACCCUUUGUUAUUCAAUAUGUUUACAUAAGAUGCUUAGAUAUCAUACUAUUAAGCAGAAAAGAACCUACAUUAGAUUUAAUUACUUGGGCUUAAUUGUUAUAUUCAUAAGAUGACAUAGAUUGAUUUCGAGUUGUCACUCUAAAAUUGGGGAUUAAUUAACAAUUAGAUAAUUAUUAAUUGAAUAGUGGUGGAUUCUGAAACCUUGAUAAUUUUUGUCUUAUUAAAUUCUCUUUUAUUUUAAUUGUCUUAGUUUAAUUAGUUUAAUUUAUGUUAAAACUUAAUUUGCUCAACUAUUUUAGAAUUAAUAUUAAUUUUAGAUUUAAAUUAGACUUUUCAAUUUAUAACAAUCCCUGUAGGUUUGACCUUAUUACCACUAUUCUAUUUUUAAAUUCGUGUGCUUGCAAGUAUAUUAAAAUUUUUCACAAUAAGUUUUUGGCGUCGUUACCGGGGAUUGUGCCAGAAAGUCAGUUUAAUCUAGAUUGAUUUGUUUUUUCCACUAGUUAUAAUUUAAGUUGUCUUUUAUUUUUAUUUUAUUUUUUUAAUAGAAAACACAAAAAAAUAUUUAUUUGUCUUUAAAUUUAUUGUUUGGUUGUUUGAUUUGUUUUAUUUUAAAUUCCGUUUAUUUUUAUUAUUGUUGCUUUAUUUUCCUUUCUUUGUCUAGUUAGUUUAUGAGUGUUUGGGAACGCGAUUCAACAAAUCGUUUGGUAAGAAAAGAGUCUAAAAUUGAUAGUAGUCGAGUUAGUUCUUCAAAAGUGAUGAAUGACCCAAAUAGAAUAUUGUCAGUACUUCCACCAGUGCAAGCAGAGAAAAUCCUUAGAGAAUGUUUUUCACCACUUGCAGCCAACCAACCAUCUUGUAUUGUGUUGCCACAGACUACAGCAACACACUUUAAACUCAAGCCCUCUGUCAUUUAGCUUUUACCAUCUUUCCAUGGGUUAGAGAGAGAGGACCCAUAUUUGCACAUUAAGUACUUUUUUGACAUGUGCUCUACAUUCUAUUUUCAAAAUUUUAAUGAUCAGUCAAUUAGGUUUCGUAUGUUCCCUUUCUCAUUAAAAGACAAAGCGGAAGCUUGGUUGAAUUCACUUCCUGCUGGGUCUAUUACUACAUGGGAUGAAUUAAGUAAUAAGUUCUUUACCAAGUUUUUCCCUAUGUCUAAAACAAAUGUCAUUAGGAGAGAGAUAAAUGAUUUUUGUCAAAGAGAGGGUGAACAAUUUUAUGAGUGUUGCGAAAGAUUCAAUGAUUUACUCCUCAAGUGUCCCCACCAUGGUUUUGAGAAAUUGAGACUUAUACAGUGCUUUUAUAAUGGUUUAACUAUGUCAAAUCAUCACAUGAUAGAGUCUGUGAAUGGUGGGAGAUUUUUUAAUUUACAUAAGGGGCUGCUUGAGAUUUCUUUAUUUUACUUUUUGAGAAUUCUCAACAAUGAGAUUUUUCAAAUCAAAGAAAAAAAUGAUCUCAAGUUUCUAGGAAAGUCUAUAUGAAGUUAAUGAUGAUUUUGAUGUUAAGGUCAUUCUAGCUACACUUUCUAAGAAAAGUAGAUACCUUAACUCUGAACCAAUCAAUGAAUCAUCACCCUAGUGUACCUAAUGAGGUUUGUACUCUUUGUUCUAACUUGUCUCAUACAGCACAUAAUUGUCCAUCAUUGCCAGCCUAUCAAGAGGCUUAUUCUGAGCAAGUACACGCCUUACAAUCAUAUGAAAAAAACCUUCAAUAGUCCAUAUUCAUCCACAUAUAUUCUUAAUUGGAGGAACCACCCUAAUUUUUCUUGGAAACAAAGUCAGCCUUUAUCAAACUAAGGAGGACAACAAUUCAACGUACCCAAUCAACAAUUUGUCCUUACUAACCAAGUAUAUCCUCCUGCCCAACAGCCUGUGUCUCAAUUUGUUACACCUUAGCAAAGAAAACCUUCUUCAGAUGAUACACUUCAAAGUUUCAUUCAGUCAACCCAACAAGCUUUUCAGUCAAACACUCAAGCUAUUCUAAAGCUUGAACAUCAAUUGGGUCAAUUAGCAACUGCUAUGGCUGAGAGAAAAAAAUGAAAAUUCCCAAGUCAACCAGUUCUUAAUCCUAAAUGAGUGCAUAAAGUUGGAUCAACUUCAAGCCAUCAGUAUAAAGAAGCAAAAUCUAUUAUGACCUUGAGAAAAUGAAAAAUAUUUGACAAUAAGGUGGAGGUUCGAACAAGAAAGACAUCUGAACCUACUUCUGCAUAUCCAGUUCCAUCACAAGACUCAUCACUAAAUGAUCCAGAAGAAAGUAAUCCACCAGCUUACAUUCCUAAGGCUUAUUUUCCUUAAAGGUUAACAAAGGUAAAGAAAGAGACUUCAACAUGUGAGAUUAUAGAAAUCUUCAGGCAUGUAAGUAUAAUCAUCCCUUUACUCGAUGGUAUUAAGCAAGUUCCUCAUAUGCCAAGUUUUUGAAGGAUUUAUGAACUAAAAAAAGAAAUUUGCAUGUCACCAAAAAUGCAUUUUUAACUGAACAAACUAGCAAUUUACUUCAAUAUAAAAUGCCACCAAAAUUUAAGGAUCCAGGUUCCCCUACUAUCUCAUGUGUUAUAGGGAACCAAUUGUUUGAUAAAGCAUUAUUGGAUUUGGAUGCAAGUGUUAAUCUCUUGCCUUACUUUGUUUACAUGCAGCUUGGAUUACAUAAAUUAAAGUCAACUUCCAUUAUUUUGCAACAUGCAGAUAGGUCAAUGAAAAUACCUCAUGGUAUUAUAGAGGAUGUGUUGAUACAGAUUGAUAAAUUUUAUUAUUUUGUUGACUUUAUUGUUAUUGAUACUCAGCAUGUACAAGAUCCUAAGAAACAUACCCCAGUUAUUUUAGGUCGUCCUUUCUUAGCUACAGUUGAUGCUCUUAUUAAUUGCAGGAAUGGAAACAUGCAAUUAUCUUUUGGUAACAUGACCAUGGAAUUAAAUAUUUUUAAUGUUCCUGAUAACUCUAUGAAAUGAGAGUUAUUACAUCAAUUCUAAACUUAAAUCAAGAUCACUUAGAGAACAAAUAAGGUGUUUUUAUUACAUUUUGGUUAUAUUUUGCAUAAACAUUCAUUUUAGUUAAGUUUUAAUAAGUUUUGUUUAAAUCAAAGUAAUUGGUGCUAAAAACAGUUGCAUAAUUGUAGGUUUUCAGAAAGUCUUAAUUCAUGAGAGGAUGGUGAGACAUUAGAUGAGCAAGGGGAGGAAAGAAGAUAGCCGCAAAAGAAGUAAAGCACAAUCGAGAAUAGUACAGUGUUGUAGCGGAUGUUAAAGCAACCAGUGGUAUAACAAUCUGGGAGCAAUGCUGGAGAAAAUUUAGGCACGGGUCAGCUGCAGAAUCGCGAUUUGCAUGUUUCCUAAUUUAACUCAUGCACGCUUAUGGACUUUUGUUUUACUCUAGUUUGCAGUAUAAAAGAUAGGCGUGCACCACAUAAAGAGGCGACAAGAGGAAUUAUCAUAAAAAAUCAUUAGAGAGAAAAAGAGAAGAAGAUCAGAAUUAAAGAGUGUUGUUUCGGCAACAUUGAGGAAUCUGGCAGAAUUAUUCGAAUUUGUCUUUCACUAUGGUCAACUGAUAUUUAUCUUCUUCUUUUGAUUGUUUUAAUGUAUCCCGUGAACAACAUAUUUAUGUUUGUUUUUCUUAUUCAGAAUAUGAACUAGAUUUGCUUGUAGUUGAGUGACAAACAAUCCAAUGGGUUCUUGACUGUUCUUAUGUGUUGUUAUGUCAUUGCUGUAGCAUUAUACUCUAGUAGUUAUUAUUAAUAUAACUGUUAUUUCGGUUGACCACCCAUUUAAUAGUUCCAGUUAAGAUAGAGCAGCAAAAAUGCAUGUCUUAGCGGACAUUAUUAGAGUAUUACUUGAUCUUAAGUUAAGUUUCCUAGAUUAAGUUAUCUUGAAUCCCAUAAGGGCAAUACUUGAAGUUAAGAUUUGUGACACACUAGACAUAGGUGCUCACCUUGUAGGGUGGAGAGAUAAAAAAAGAUCAUAAAGCCAUAUCAUGAGUAGAUUAGCAACUGGUCAUUGCUAGUGUAUUUAAGGGUAUGAGAGUUCCAAUAUGCAACAGCUGAGGAUGCAGAUUAAUUCCGCCCAGUACUGCAGCACUUGCUGUAACAAUUGGAGUCCACUUGAUGAAAAACAGUCAGCCCAUAAGGAGAGUUUGAUCAUUCAACUACCAUGUUCUUACUUGAAUCUUAGACACAUUUAGUUUAGUUUAUUUCAUUGUGGUUUUGUUUAUUUUAUUCUCUCACAAUCAUUAAUUACGAUAGAACACAUUUUACGUUUGUUAACUUCGGAUUUGAAUUAGUUUGCACUAUUGUGAUUGCUACAAUAUUUUUGGUAACAUCAAUCCCUGUGGAGACGAUCUUGAAUACUCAUCACUUUAUUACUUGUUGUGUACACUUGCACAUUGACAAUAAUAGCUUUUGAUUAUAAAAUCAACCAACAAGUUUUUGGCGCCGUUGCUGGGGGUUGAUUAUUUAUUUUUGAAGUGUUAAGUAAAUCUUGAUAGCACCAAAUUUGAUUUAAUUCAUUCUAUUUAUUGGCAGAUCAAUACUUGCAUGCGCAAAGACAGAUAUGUGAUGUUUCAGUUCGAUCCUGAGAUUGAAAUGACUGUUAGGAGAUUGCGAAGAGAACAAAGGAAGUCAAAAACUGUUUCAAGCAUGAAUAAUUUACAGGAUGAGGGAAAUUGAACCUUCACGGGCCCUUACAACCAGUUAACAUUCAAGAAGAGCAGAAUGAACAUGCUAACGAGAGACAACCAGGCAAUAACAAUAUUAUUUACAUGGCUAAUGACAGAGACAGAGCUAUUAGAGAUUAUGCUGUGUUAACUCCUCAAGUUGUACACCUUGGGAUAAUCAGACCUGAAGUAGAAGUUGUAAAUUUUGAGUUGAAGCCAGUGAUGUUUCAAAUGUUGCAAACAGUUGAUCAAUUAAAUAGAUUACCAAAUGAAGAUCCUCAUCUCCAUCUUAAGUUGUUCUUGGAAGUGAGUGAUGCUUUCAAGAUUGCUGGAGCAACACAAGACGCCUUAAAGCUGAGACUUUUUCCUUAUUUCUUAAGAGAUCGAGCAAGAGCAUGGUUAAAUUCGUUACCAUCUGAUUCCAUCACUACAUGGAAUGAGUUGGCUGAUAAAUUCCUAAUGAAAUAUUUUUCACUGACAAAAAAUGCAAAGUUGCGGAAUGAGAUAACUUCUUUUCAUCAACUUAAAGAUGAAAGUUUGUACGAGGCUUUGGAAAGAUUCAAAGAAUUGCUCAGAAGGUGUCCUCAUCAUGGCAUUCCUUGUUGCAUUGAAUUGGAAACUUUCUACAAUGGGUUGAAUCCAAGUACAAGGUUAAUGGUGGAUGCUUCAGCAAAUGGAGCCCUGUUAUCCAAAUCUUAUACUGAAGCUUAUGAAAUUCUGGAGAGAAUUGCCAAUAAUAAUUAUCAGUGGCCAUCAACCAGGCAACCAGCAGUAAGAGGAUCAGUAGGGGUACAUAACAUAGAUGCAAUUACAGCCUUAUCAGCACAAGUAACCUCAUUGACUAACAUGGUAAAGACCAUGACAUCUGCUCCAACAGUAGUGAAGCAAGUUGCGGAACUUUCUUGUGUAUACUGUGGUGAAGGACACGACUUUGAUAAUUGUCCUGGAAAUCCAGCAUCAGUAACUAUGUGGGUAAUUUCAAUCGACAGCCUCAGAACAACCGAUAUUCAAAUACUUACAACCCUGGAUGGAAACAACACCCAAAUUUCUCAUGGAGUAGUCAGAAUCGAAAUGCUCCAGCAGUAAAUGGACAAAAUAGGAACACUCAACCAUCUGGAUUUCAUCAGCAGAGUCAGGGGAAAAAACAUAGCAAUCAGGAUCCAAUCAUUUCACUGGAAGCAUUGAUUAAAGAGUACAUUACAAAGAAUGAAGCAAUUGUGCAGAGUCAAGCCGUAUCCUUGAGGAACCUGAAAAAUCAAAUGGGACAACUUGCCACAGCAAUGAGUAGCAGGACUCAAGGAAGUUUACCUAGCAACACAGAAGACCCUAGGAGAGAGGGUAAAGAACACUGCAAAGCAAUUAAUUUGAGAUCUGGAAAAAAUGUUGAUAUCCCAAUUGAUGUGAUUAACAAGGGUAAGGAAGUUAAUUCCUCACAAAAACCACCUCAAGAUGGAAGCAUGUUACAACAACCCAACCAUCAAAACACUAGUUACAUGGGCCAAGCUACAGCAACUGCAGAGGGAGUUCAAUCAGAACAUGUUGAAAAAGAAGUUGCAACACCAGUAGCCACGACCUACACCAAACCAAACAAACAGAGUUUGGUACCUCCUGAAGCUACCCAGCAGUUUAGACAUCCACCACAUUUCCCACAGAGAUUCCAGAAGCAAAAACAAGACAAGCAGUUCAGUAAAUUCCCGGAAGUGCUGAAACAAUUACACAUAAAUAUACCUUUUGUGGAAGCCUUGGAGCAAGUGCCAAAUUAUGUGAAAUUUCUAAAAGACAUCUUGGCACGAAAGAGAAUGCUGGGAGAGUUUGAAAUUAUUGCUUUAACACAGGAAAGCAGUCAUAUGCUCCAAAGUAAGAUUCUUACAAAAGUGAAAGAUCUAGGAAGUUUUACAAUAUCAUGCUCUAUAGGAACUAGGUAUACUGACAGAGCACUUUGUGCUUGGGAGCUAGUAUUAAUUUAAUGCCAUUAUCUGUAUUUAAGCAGCUGGGAGUAGGGGAAUACAGACCAACAACAGUCACUCUGCAAUUAGCUGACAGAUCUCAUGCAUACCCUGAAGCAAAAAUUAAGGAUGUACUGGUGAAGGUGGACAAAUUCAUCUUCCCAGUAGACUUCAUUGUACUAGACUUUGAAGCUGAUAAAGAGGUGCCCAUUAUACUUGGAAAACCUUUUCUAGCAAUUGGAAAGACUUUGAUAGAUGUGCAAAAAGGAGAGCUCACCAUGAGAGUAAAUGAUCAGCAAGUCACAUUUAAUGUACUAGAGGCUAUGAGAAGUCCUGAUGAAGUAGAAGAUUACAAUUUCCUAAGUGUUGUGGAUUUUGUUAUAGCAGACAGAAUGGACAAAUGCUGCAGUAAUGAAAUCAACAAAGUCACCACCUUUGAGAAUGUAGAAGAGGAAGAUGUUGUAGAAAAUCAGAUAGAUUGGAUAAAAGAAAAGAAAUUUGAUAGGCACAACAGGUUUAUUGAGCAUCUGAAUCUUUCAGACAGGAAAGUAAAAAUAACUUUACCAUCUAUUGAAUCACCUCCUAGUCUUGAAUUAAAAUUGUUAUCUUCACAUUUGAAGUAUGUUUAUCUUGGUCAAAACAACACACUCACUGUGAUCAUUUCUUCUACUUUGGAUGCAGGUCAAGAACAGAGUUUAGUAGAUUUGUUGGGAAAAUACAGAAGAGCAAUUGAAUGGACCAUGGCAGACAUCAAGAGGAUAAGCCCAUCAAUAUGCAUGCAUAAAAUCCUGUUAGAAGAUUGCUACAGCAAUUCGGUGGAGCAUCAGAGAAUGUUGAACCCUAUUAUGAAAGAAGUGGUGAAGAAGGAAAUCAUCAAAUGGUUGGAUGCUGGACUCAUAUACCCAAUAUCAGACAAUUCGUGGGCGAGCCCAGUUCAAUGUGUUCCAAAGAAGGGAGAGAUAACUGUGAUAGUUAAUGGGAUGGAUAACUGUGAUAGCUGAUGAGAGAGAUGAACUUAUUUCUACAAGAACAGUGACUAGAUGGAGAGUAUGUAUGGAUUACAGGAAGCUCAAUAAAGCCACAAAGAAAGACCACUUCUCACUCCCAUUCAUAGAUCAGAUGUUGGACAGACUUGUUAGAAAACAAUACUAUUGUUUCCUAGAUGGGUAUUCAGGCUACAACCAGAUUGCUAUAGCUCCAGAAGAUAAGGAAAAGACUACAUUUACUUGUCCUUAUGGAACAUUUGCCUUCAGAAGAAUGCUCUUUGGGUUGUGCAAUGCUCCAGCAACUUUUCAGAGAUGCAUGAUGUCUAUUUUUUCUGAUAUGGUAGAACAAACUUUAUAAGUUUUCAUAGAUGACUUUUCAGUUUUUGGAGAGACAUACAAUGAUUGUUUACACAACUUAGAAGAAGUUCUUAAAAGAUGUGAGAUGACUAACUUAGUACUUAAUUGGGAAAAAUGUUAUUUCAUGGUGCAAGAAGAAAUAAUGUUGGGUCAUAAGGUGUCCAAGAAAGCCAUUGAGGUAGACAAAGUCAAGAUAAAGGUAAUAAAUAAACUGCCACCCCCCACUCAAUAAAGGGUAUAAGGAGUUUUUUGGGCCAUGCUGGAUUUUACAGAAGAUUCAUUAAGGAUUUUUCCAAGGUAGCUAAACCAUUAUGCUCAUUGCUGGAACAUGACAAGCCCUUUCACUUUGACAAAGAUUGUCAUCAAGCAUUUGGAGAAUUAAAGAAAGCUCUUAUCACUACUCCAGUUGUUAUAUCUUUAGACUGGACGUUACCAUUUGAAUUGAUGUGUGAUGCUAGUGAUCAUUCUAUUAGAGCAGUAUUAGGACAAAAAAAGGAUAAGGUUUUUCACUCCAUAUACUAUGCAAGCAAAACUCUUACUCAAACUCAAAUCAAUUACACCACUACAGAGAAAGAGUUGCUAGUAGUAGUAUUUGUUUUUGACAAAUUCAGGGCCUACUUGGUGGGUACUAAAGUGAUUGUAUAUACAAACCAUGCAGCCAUCAAAUACUUAAUUUCAAAGAAUGAUGCCAAGCCAAGAAUAAUCAGAUGGAUCUUAUUGCUUCAAGAAUUUGAUCUGAAAAUUAAAGAUAGAAAAUGGACUGAGAAUCAAGUAGCAGACCACCUGUCACGGCUGGAAGCAAAUACAAGUACAUUGACAAGAAAUGACAUCACUGAAACUUUUCCUCAUGAACAGCUGUUGGUAGUACAACAAGCACAUAUGCUGCAGUUAGGAUCUCCAUAGUAUGCAGAUUUUGCUAACUACUUGGUAAGUGGAUUGCUACCACCUGAGCUGAAGUUCCAAGAGAAAAAGAAAUUUCUUUAUGAUGUAAGAAGUUAUCAGUGGGAUGACCCACAUUUAUAUAAGUUGUGCUCAGAUCAAGUAAUACGAAGAUGUGCUGCAGAAGGAAAGAUUCCCCACAUACUGGAGUCAUGCCAUGCUGCAGCAUAUGGAGGACAUUUUGGUGGUCACAGAACAGUUGCUAAAGUUCUGCAAUCAGGUUAUUACUAGCCUACCAUUUUUAAAGAUGUUUAUGAAUUUGUUAAAUGUUGUGACAGGUGUCAAAGGACAGGGAACAUAACUAGAAGACAUGAAAUGUCAUUGACCAACAUUCUAGAAGUGGAAGUUUUUUAUGUAUAGGGAAUAGAUUUCAUGAGACCUUUUCAACCAUCCUUUGGGAACUUGUAUAUCCUUGUUGCUGUGGAUUAUGUCUCCAACUGGGUAGAGGCUGCAGUAUUACCUACCAAUGAUGCUAAAGCAGUGGUGGUUUUUCUUCAGAAAAAUAUUUUUUCCAGGUUUAGCACUUCUAGAGCAAUUAUUAGUGAUGAGGGUACUCAUUUUUGCAACAAAGUCUUUGCUGCAGCUAUGGUAGAAUAUGGAGUCAGACACAAGGUAGUAACAACAUAUCACUCGUAGUUCAAUGGUUAGGCUGAAGUGUCCAACAGAGAAAUUAAAAAGAUCUUAGAAAAAGUGGUGAACCCAACAAGGAAUGAUUGGUCUUUGCAAUUACAUGACUCUCUAUGGACCUACAGAACAGCAACAAAACUCCACUUGGCAUGUCUCCUUACCGAAUUGUUUAUGGGAAGGCUUGUCAUUUGCCACUAGAGCUAGAGCAUAACGCACACUAGGCACUGAAGAAAUUAAAUUGGGACAUUCAUGCUGCAGCAGAGCAAAGAAAGCUUCAACUUUGUGAGCUUAAUGAAUUACGACUAUUUUCAUAUGAAAAUGCUAGAAUCUAUAAAGAAAGGACAAACCACUGGCACGACAAGCAUAUUCAACACAGACAGUUCAGCCCUGGUCAACUAGUGCUGCUCCACAAUACAAGACUAAGAUUAUUUUCAGGAAAGCUAAAAUCACGAUGGUUUGGAAUUUUUAGGCUGUUAAAAUGUUAUCCUCAUGGAGCUGUUGAUCUUUUAGAUGAAAAACAGGUCACAAAUUUAAAGUUAAUGGACACAGGGUUAAGCAUUACAUACACCCAGCAACAGAUUGUUCAAAGGAGGUUUUACUCCUUAAAGAACCCAGCUAUUGAGCAGUGAAAGAAGGUCAGGCUGAAGGACCUUAAAUCAAGCGCUCCAUGAGAGGCAACCCAUUGUGGAGAUAGCCACUUCAAACCAAGUUUGAUCAUCUUUGGUUUUGUUAAUGGUUCUCCCUCUCUUCCAUUUUAUUUAAUCUUGUUCUUUAAUUUAAGUUACUUAGUUUUAUCUUUUCACAUUAUUGCAUUUUUUUUAUGUUGCUAUCAUUUGAUCUCUUUAUUUUUAAUUAUAUUUUUAGAAUCGAUUUUAGUUUUUGUGGUAAGUAUGAGUGGCAUUAGAUUUUCAUUUUAACCAGUGGGGUUGUAUGGUGACAGAGUGCAGAGGCAAGCCACGUGUCAAAGAGCAUUGGAGGGACGUAUGUAACCGUUGCUAGAGCAAGCAAGUGUGUGCUGCAACACCCAAUAUUACCAUUACAGUAAAUUAAAAAUUAGAGCCUCUCACUUACCGUUGGAGAUAAAUCAUGACAGAUGGCAGCAUGGAUUUGGAUAGCAAUUGCGAAGAAAUCUCCUAAAUUAAUGCAUUAAUUUCGCUGGCCUAUGUUUUAGGGAUAUACAUAUUAAAUUCAAAAUAUUUUCUUCCCUUAUUUAUCUAUAGUUACCGGAUUUAUCUUCACUUAAAGUUCACUAUAAAAGGGAGUCACUGUGCGUAGUGAUCUACGGCACUAUUCCCCAUCUCCUUCGCAAAUACAACUUUCAUAAUUCUUAACCUCUUCUUCUCAUUUUACCAUCAGAUUGUUACUGCUAUAGCAAUGCCAAGGUAUAAGAAAAUAACCAGCCGCCUCAAAGAUCCUUCACACUUCCAGAGUUACCACGCCAAAGAAAAAUAUGAAGAAUUUAUAGAGCCGCGUAAGAUUCUAGAAGAAAAAAGGGUUUCAAUUUCCAGAGCGACUCAUCGGAAUUGUGCAAACAAUACACAAUGCUGCAGCAAAUGGUGGAUGGUUGGACUUUUGCAACCACCCUCGAAAUCCUGUGCUACCGGUAGUCAAGGAAUUUUACGCCAAUUUGGUAAGCCCUGAUCAGCACAACAUUUGGGUAAGAAACACACUUGUUCCAUUAGACUCCCGCGUUAUAAAUGCUUUUUAUAAUUUACUUGCUGAAAUUAAUUGUGAGUAUACCAAGUUGCUUGAUAAAUUGACCCCAAAGAAAUGGAACACCAUCUUCACAACUCUUACAAUUGAAGGGGCAUCAUGGGCUAACGAGGAAGGGUGUGUAGUUAAUAGGAUAGAUUUGAAACUUAUUGUUAAGGUGUGGGUGAAAUUUUUAAAAUCUAGGCUUAUGCCAACCACUCAUACUACUACGGUUUCACAAGAGAGGUUGGUCUUGUUAUAUGUCAUUGUUCGAGGGCUUCUCAUAGAUGUAGGUAGCAUCAUCGAAAAAGAAAUCAGGGACUAUGCAGUUAAGAAUCACAAAACUAAUGCUCUGCUAUUUCCUUCGCUCAUCACCAGCAUUUAUGUAGUAUCCGGUGUUCGUCUUGACGUGAGAAAUGACCAUAUCAAGAAUGAUGGUGCCUUUACGACACGUACCAUUGAGAGAGUUGCUGGUGAGAGUGCUGGAACAACAACUGAACCAACUACUGUAAUAGGAGCAAGACGAGUUAUUGGUUUAGAACAAACAAUUCAGGCGCUCAGCAAAGCUCAGCAGAGGGAAAAUGAUUGGUUUUGGAGCUAUCUACAGCACCUGAACAACCAACUACACUAAUUUGCUUUGUACAUGAAACGCACUCACCGGAACUUCCCUGAUUCAUUGCUCCAGCAAUACAAUUUUGACACCAACACCACAGGUGCUCCAGCAGCAGCCAGUGAAGAAGCCACUGCCACAGAUGAACCAGAAGAAGAAGCUGCAGUCGAACCACAAGCAGAGGUAGAAUCAGAAGAUGCUGAAACAUCUGAUCAACCUGAGGAAGAAGGUGACAAGUUUGCAACUGAUAGCUCACCCACAGAGGCAGAGGACAACUCUGAGAAAGAACGUGAGGAACUUUCCAUUCCAACUCAUUCCAAAACCAGGAAAAGACACAUCAUUCAAGAAGAGGAAGAGGAAAACCCUUAAAAGGAACCUUUCAUUCCAGUCCUUACGGGCAAGGGCAAGGGCAAGGGCAAGGUAAAAAUAGCAACACCUCCAGCCUCUGAAGAUGAAAUAGAGCAAAUCGAUGCAGAGCUGGCUGCUGCAGUAACCAGAGUUACGCCUACACCUGCAGAAGCCAAGCAGCUACUUGAUAUCAUUGCUGCCAUCACAGCUGAAGGUCAGGCAGCUGAUGCCUCAACUCCAAUUCCUCCACAGAUGACUCCUAGCCAACUUGUUCGUACCAGUCCACGAUAAUCCAGUAAAAGAAAAGGCAGUACGUUUAAAGGCACUGCUACAACAGCCUCGCCUCAACCAAAACGGACCAGGUCGGUGUCAACUACACAACCUACCCCAGCCGCAACUCCUCUCGCCAGCCCAGUGACGAAAAAGACAAAGACAUUGCCAGUCACUUCCCCACAAGUUUCACCAAAGGAUAAGCUGCGCAGUGCAUCCAAGAAACGCUAAUAUCAUCCCGUCAUUUGCAGCAGUCCCAACCACAUGGAAGUAUCCCUACCUUGCUAGUUAAUUUAUUGUUAAAAAAAAAACUUUUCUUUCAGUUUUAUUGUUAAAAAAAAACUUUUAUUUCAGUAUGUUUUUCAAAUUUUGUGGUAUUUUCUAAUGUCUUCCAUGUCCUUGUCCACUUGUGUGCCUUUGUUAUGUAUGCUUGUGAGGACAUAGCAACUCUCAAGUUGGGGGGGUUGUGUUUCCAAAUGUUUGUGUUUAUGUGUAUGCUUGUGUUGUGUGUUGUGUGAAGCUCUGUUAUCUAAUAUUUGUGUAUGGAUUUGAAAACCUAAUGAAGAUAUAUUGAGUGUUAUUCAAAAUUUAUGAGAAUGCCAAGUAGAGAUAGUUAUAGAUGGAGGUUGAAAUUAUGUCCUGACACUUAGACUUUGGUUGAAUUGUAUGAGAUUGCUAGAGCAAAGCCAAAAGAAUGGAAAAGAUCUUAAGUUUGGGGGGGAAAAUAAGUUGAUUGACUGUGAUAUCUAUGUAAUAAACUCUGUUUCAAUAGCUCAAGUUGCUGAAUAACCAGAUAUGAGUAUGUACCCCAUAUGUAGAAUUGUGUUCAAAGGUAGCAAGAGUUAUGAGCAAUGCUGUAGCAUUUUUAAAAAAAAAAUCCUAUGUCUAAGGCAUUGAGUAGUCAGGUCUGUUCAUGAGCCCCAUGUUCAGCCUUGAAUAAAAAAUAUCUCUAGAUAAGACUAUAUUACAGAUAUUGCUACAGCAACUCUGAUCUGUGCAUGGUUUGAGUAAUUGGGUGUCAUCAUUACAAUUGAUUGACAUUCACAUGAAAAAUAAAUGUUGCAAUGAGGAAGUUGAAUACUCUCCAGUUUCUCAAUCUUAAAAUCAUCACAGUUCGAGUAUGUGAAAUUUAUGCUGCCCCAUAUAUGAUGAAGUUUUAUCACUGCUGAAAUUCAUGCAGUCUCUUAGUGAUGUUAUAGCAUCUCUGGAAUACAAUCAAAGUAGCACACACACACACAAUGGACAGAAAGAAGCUUAAGCCUAGAACUGAUUUACUAUAGUCACGUUGCAUGAUUGGGAUUGUGAUCUGAAGGUGGAAGAAUCCUUGCAAAUUUGAUAAAAGAACUAAAGUUAUUUUGCAUGAUUGUUUGUGUGAAGUAUUAGUAUGUUGUCAUUACUUGAGGACAAGUAAUGGUUUAAGUUUGGGGGUGUGAUAACUCUAGGAAAUGAGAGUUAUUACAUCAAUUCUAGACUUAAAUCAAGAUUACUUAGAGAACAAAUAAGAUGUUUUUAUUACAUUUUGGUUAUAUUUUGCAUAAACAUUCAUUUUAGUUAAGUUUUAAUAAGUUUUGUUUGAAUCAAAAUAAUUGGUGCUAAAAACAUGUGCAUAAUUGUAGGUUUUUAGAAAGUCUUAAUUCAUGAGAGGAUGGUGAGACAGUGGAUGAGCAAGAGGAGGAAAGAAGAUAGCUGCAGAAGAAGUAAAGAACAAUCGGGAAUAGUGCAGUGUUGUAGCGGAUGUUAGAGCAACCAGUGCUAUAGCAAUCUGGGAGCAAUGCGGGAGAAAAUUUAGGCGCGGGUCAGCUGCAGAAUCGCGAUUUGCAUGUUUCCUAAUUUAACUCAUGCACGCCUAUGGACUUUUGUUUUACCCUAGUUUGCAGUAUAAAAGAGAGGCAUGCACCACAUAAAGAGGCGACAAGAGGAGUUAUCAUAAAAAAUCAUUAAAGAGAAAAAGAGAAGAAGAUCAUAAUUGAAGAGUGCUGUUUCGGCAACAUUGAGGAAUCUAGCAGAAUUAUUCGAAUUUGUCUUUCAUUGUGCUCAACUGAUAUUUAUCUUCUUCCUUUGAUUGUUUUAAUGUAUCCCGUGAACAACAUAUUUAUGUUUGUUUUUCUUAUUCAAAAUAUGAACUAGAUUUGCUUGUAGUUGAGUGACAAACAAUCCAAUGGGUUCUUGAUUGUUCUUAUGUGUUGUUAUGUCAUUGCUGUAGCAUUAUACUCUAGUAGUUAUUAUUAAUAUAACUGUUAUUUCGGUUGACCAUCCAUUUAAUAGUUCCAGUUAAGAUAGAGCAGCAAAAGGGCAUGUCUUAGCGGACAUUAUUAGAGUAUUACUUUAUCUUAAGUUAAGUUUCCUAGAUUAAGUUAUCUUGAAUCCCAUAAGGGCAAUACUUGAAGUUAAGAUUUGUGACACACUAGACAUAGGUGCUCACCUUGUAGAGUAGAGAGAUAAAAAGGGAUCAUAAAGCCAUAUCAUGAGUAGAUUAGCAACUGGCCAUUGCUAGUGUAUUUAAGGGUAUGAGAGUUCCAAUAUGCGAUAGCUGAGGAUGCAGAUUAAUUCCGCCCAGUGUUGCAGCACUUGCCGUGACAAUUGGAGUCCACUUGAUGAAACACAGUCAGCCCAUAAGGAGAGUUUGAUCAUUCAACUACCAUGUUCUCACUUGAAUCUUAGACACAUUUAGUUUAGUUUAUUUCAUCACGGUUUUGUUUAUUUUAUUCUCUCACAAUCAUUAAUUACGAUAGAACACAUUUUACGUUUGUUAACUUCGGAUUUGAAUUAGUUUGCACUAUUGUGAUUGCUACAACAUUUCUGGUAACAUCAAUCCCUGUGGAGACGAUCUUGAAUACUCAGCACUUUAUUACUUGUUGUGUACACUUGCACAUUAACACCAAUAGCAUUUGAUUAUAAAAUCAACCAACAGUUCCCAAGCAGGCACAAGACAAUAAUGAAGUCAUUGAAGUAGAUAUGAUAGAAGCAUCAAUUGAUUAUUCAUUUAUUUCUAACCACUAUGCUAAUUCAUUAACACCAUGCACAACUGACUCUAAUUUAUCUUUUGAUGGUGAGAGUGGUAUUAAAGAAGUUAAUGCUUUACUUGAUUCAACUCUUAUCACAGAUCUAAUUAAGAGGAAAGAAAAUAUUAAGCUUAUAACACCCCAAAAUUUUCCAAGAAUUUUAAAAGAAAUUUGAAAUGUAAUCUCUAAACAAUUAAAAUUUAUUAAUAAUCCCAAAUGAAAAUCAAUAAUGUCCAAAGUCGAAACAUAGUCUCUAAAACAAUAAAUAUAACAAUAACCCUCCAAUAUCAAAUUCAGCUCUAAAAUAAUAACCAAAAUAACAACAAUUUAUCCAUCACGAAAAUGCCCAAAGCUUUCGGCUAAUAAAUCAUUUUCUCUAAAACCAAAAAGGCCACAUCUUUAAAAUCACUUUGCAAAAAUAUUGGAGACGAGAGGUGAGGCGUCAACUCAAUAAGCAAACACAUGCAUAAGGUUACUAAUAACGAUAAAGUACAUAAUAAUUAUUAUUAAGUGCCAUGAAUUUGAAAUCAAUAAUCAUUUUAUAUUCUAAUACAUACGUACAGUAAAAUUUAAAAUCAAUUAUAUCAUAACAUAAUGACCAUUUUCAAUAAAUAAUCAUUUAUUAAUAAAAUCUUUCAUUUGUUCAAUUUUGCUCAUGCCUCAUAGUGUCACCUGUACUCCCGGUGACCCAACCGGUAGUUCAAUCAGGGUAUUUUACCCCGCAAUAAUUGUCAAUGGUGUGCACAAUACAAUUAACUGUUCAGUCAUAUCAGUAGCAGAUACUACAGACAAUGAGCAAAAACCUUAAAGUAAUUUUCAAUCUUUCAAUAUUAACGUUCAAUAAUUGAUCAACAAAAUCUCUUAUAAGACAUUUAAUUGGCAAAGCUUUACAAAUUAUUUUAAGGAAAACAAUUUAUGGAACAGAAGUAUUUUAAAGCCAUUAUUUUAAAAACAAUUUAAGAAAAAUAUUUUAAAUAAACUUUAAACCAAAAUGUAAAUCAUUAUUAUAAACUAUAACAACAAACAAUAAUUCAAAAAUAUAAAUAUGCCAAUCCUUGUGAACAACAUUAUUCUUUUCAUACAUAAAUUCGUACACACACACACAUAUAUAUAUAUAUAAUAUUUUGAUGAUAGGUUUUACAAAUCCAAUCCGAAGCUUUUUGUGAAAGCUUUGAUUGAGAAACAAUAAUUUGAGAAGAAGAGCUUUCACAAGAAAUGAUACCAGUACUUUAUUAGAGCCAUGGGGAGGAUAGUGUAAUAUAGGAUAUAAUUUCUAUCCUAUAUUAAAUGACCUUGGACAUUUGUUUAAACCAGUACUUCUAAGAUCGUGGAGUGUGUGUGUGUAUUCAAAAGAUUAAAUAUUUUAAAGACAAAAUAAUAAUCAAUAUUAAAUUGGUACGUGGCGUUGUUUUACCAGAUCAAUGCAGAACUUAAUCUGCCUUAGGGACCAGAUCUGACUUAGAACAGAUCAAUAUCCCGCAUGUUCAGGUUUCCAGUCGAUAUACCAAAAAUUUUAAAAAUUCUUUAUGCAAUUAACGCAAAGGCUCAUGGAUAAUACUAGAUCUGGAUCCCAGAAAUAGUAUUCUGAUUGAAUGGAGGGAGAAGAGAAAAUACGACUAAGGGAAGAGAUCAGGUCUCUGUGCCUUAGAAGAACGUAACAGUUUAAAUAUGCAUAAACUUAAAUUGCAAAAUUAAACAUACAUUUAAAGCUUGAAAUGAAUUAUAAAUUCUUUAAAGAAAUAUUAAAUACUUACAUGAUUUUCUUGAAUCCAAAAUAAGUUACAACUUUUUUAGAAAGGAAAAUUACAAGACAGGAAAUGUUUCCUCUAAGUCUUGAUCCAGAUUUCCCGAAGAGAGAGAGAGAGCUUUCAAAGCCUGCCUCGAUCUACUUUCUGUCCUUCUUUUAAGGGUGCAAGAAGGAAGGCUUUUUGCUGUAGCUUCACAUGCGUUGGAGGAUAAAGGAGUCAGCAAUAGUAAAAGCAGGAUGUGCUUUUGAAAUGUGGGAGCCAGCAUUAUUGAAGGCAUCUUUUGCUUUUGAAGACUUUAGGAAAGCUUCACGUGGAGAGAUGCUCUACGAGGCAAUAGUGUAUACCUUUUGAAAACAUGGCACAUGUGCGGCCACACUUGUGUCUCGAAAGACGUUUUCAAAAGAUAUUCUUACCAAAAUCUUUAUAGGAUGCUUUUGACUUCUUUCUGGACGCAGCAAUGAAGGCUUUAAAAGAUUGGAAAAAUACAAAAAGUACAAGCGAUAAUAAAAAUUACAGAAAUGGGAAAUAUAAGGGAUAAUUACAGAAAUAGAAUUACAGAGAAAAUACAGGAAUGGGAAAUUACCUUUUUUUUUUUUCAAUCAACAAGUUUUAAGUAUGCUUUAAUGGAGAAAGUAUUCCGAAGCAAUCAUCUUCAUUUUCAUCUCCAAGGGAGAUGAAAGGCUUAGCAUCAUCAGAAGAACUUGAACUAGCAAUGGAUGAUUCUGAUCUUGAUGCAAGGAGCUACUGCAUAACUUGAAAGUAUUCUUCCUCCGUUUUUGUACUGGCCAAAAGUGAUUGGGCCUUUGUCCUUUGAGCGAGGAAAGUGCUUUGGGCUUUAACAUCUUGAAUGCUCGGGGUGAGAAGGCCUUUUGAGGAAAGCCAAGCCUGGAUUGUGGCUUCCGAUAGUUUGGAUUGUUCAUCAAACUUAGACCACCAUUUUACUUUAAAGGUCCUUUGUAGAAUGAGUUGGGUAUCUUGAGUGUGGUAAAUGAAGUUCCACAUCCAGACCCAAGGAAGAAAGAAAUUUGUACAGAAACAGAGAAAAUGAGGAAAUCCCUUCUCUGACUCAGAAGGGACAUAAUGAGCUUUAAAAAGAUUUAAACAAUUUAUGGCAUUUGGGGUUAGAAUGUCUGGGCUUGGCCCAAAGUAGUUCCACCAUUAUUGGAACCAAUUUGGAAGGCUUUGUACGGUUAUUUUCGAGUUGAAGAAAAAUAACCAAGAAUAGGUCUUUUUGGGGUUUUGAAUGAAAAAUGUGUUAAACCAGGCCUAUUGGUAAUCCCAGUAAGAAAAUGAUAAACAGUGGUUUAGACGCAUUUGAAAAUUGGCGGGAAAGGUUUUGGGUUUGUGAAGUUGGUCACCCCACUGUUUUGGGCUCAAGACUUUUAAAAUGGUAGCUGUGGAAUGCUUUUAACAGACUCAGUGAACUCAAGAAUGCUUUGAUAGAAAGCCUGAGGUUUUGAUAAAUCCCAUAGUUUGAAAAACCAGCCUUUCGGGAAAAUCUUUGAAACUGCUUGAAACGGAUCAGAGUGAUAAAACCCAUCUUCCAUUGAUAAAAUAUUUUGAUGAUAGGUUUUACAAAUCCAAUCCGAAGCUUUUUGUGAAAGCUUUGAUUGAGAAACAAUAAUUUGAGAAGAAGAGCUUUCACAAGAAAUGACUUCUUUAGAAUAAGAAUGUUUUGAAAUUGCUUUAGAAAUAGUUUUUUCUUUCUCAGGAACUUGAGAAAGAGCUUUAUUUUGGGAAAUAUUUUGUAAAGCUAACAUAAGCUCAGGAGACUUUGUAAUGGAGUUCAUCCAUUAUUUUACCUGCUUAUCGGAGGCAAUGGCUUUAGACUGUGCUUCUUGUUCUUCGACCAUGUCAAUCCAAGAUUUAAUAGGCAUGGCAGAAGAAAGUAAUUUUUCUUUAGGAGGGGUUAUCUGAGUUUCUUUAGAGGUUGUUUGAGGUUCAUGGUCUUUAAGGAUACCCUUGCCCUUGUCUCUUCGUUUGGGCGGCAUUAUCUGUUUUGAAGAAAUUCCCUGGUUAGAAAAUCAGGGAUAGAAUUUGUAUCUCCUUUAAUGAAUUCAAUGUCAAAAUCAAAAACACUUAAAAUGGCUUGCCAUCGUGCAAAAAUCUGUUUUGAUGCAAUAUUUUGAACAUCAUUUUCUAAAACGUGUUUUGCAGCUUUGCAGUCAAUUCUAAGUAAGAAUUUUUUAUUUAACAAAUCACUUUGAAAUUUAGAAAUGCAUAAAACAAUAGAAAGAAUUUCCUUUUUAAUAGUAGAGUAGUUUCUUUGACAUUCAUUCCAAUGAGCAGAAACAUAUUGUACUAUUUGUUCUUUAUUAAUUUCUUUUUGCUUUAAUAUUCCUCCAUAUCCUAAAUCAGAUGCAUCAGUUUCAACAAUCUUAGGUAAUGUAGGAUUAGCAAGAAAUAAGCAUGGAAUAUCUUUAACAUAACUUUUUAUGAGCUUAACAACUUUAGUGUGUUCAUUAGUCCACGCAACAGGAUUUUUCUUUAAUCUAUCAUGCAAAGGUUUUGAAAUUCUAUUAAUAUUAGGACAAAAAUCAAGAACAUAAUUUAAACUUCCUAAAAAUCUUUGCAAUUGGGUUUUAUCAAGGAUUUUAUCAGGAAAUUUGUCAGCAAAAAUAAGAGAUCGCUCAAUAGGUGUAAUGGUUCCUUUGGAAAUGUAAUGACCAAUGAACCUUAUUCUUGUUUGAAACAAGGAAACUUUAGAACUAGAAAUGGCUAAACCAGUCUUUCUAGUGGCAAGGAAAAACGUCUUUAGAUGUUUGAAAUGUUGGUCGAUCGUUUGAGAAAAAACCAACACAUCAUCGACAUAAACAAUGCAAAAUUCAGACAAAGGAGUAUAAAUAUCAUUCAUAAUCUUUUGAAAUUUGGAAUGUGCAUUCUUUAAUCCAAAAGGCAUAACAGUCCAUUCAUACUGUCCAAAAGGAACAGUAAAUGCAGUUUUAUAACGGUCUUUUGGAUGGAUUUGAAUUUGCCAAAAUUCAGAUUUCAUAUCAAAUUUUGAAAAAAUGAAUGCAGCAUGUAGUUUCUGGAGCAAAUCCUUUUUAUUAGGUAUGGGAUACCUAAUCCAUUUUAAUGUUUUAUUAAGGGGUAAUUUAUGACUAGUCUGGGUGUCCCUCUUUCUAUCUCAGAAUUCUUAUUGACAUAGAAAGCAGCACAAGACCAAGGAGACCAAGACUUGACUAUGAGACAUUUAGAUUCUAAAUCUUUUAUCUCAUCUUUGCAAUGUUGCUCUAAUUCUAUGUUCAUUUGGAUUGGACGGGCUUUGGUAAGUAUUUACUUUUCAUCAAAAGAAUUUUCAUAAGGUAAAUCAACCAAAUGUUGUUUUAUGUUCCAAAAAGCAUAUGGUAGAUCAGCACAUAUUUCUUUUUCAAUGAGGUCUUUAAGAUCAGAGAUUUUUCUUUUUACAAAUUCAUUUUGUAAUUAGUUUUCGAUUCUUUGUAAACUCAAAUCCUUUUUUAAAUAAAUCAGAUCAUUUUGUUUUGUUUUGAGGAGUGUAUUGAUUUGGUUCUGGUAAACAGAACAAGCUUUAACAAUAUUCAAAUUUCUUGUUUUAGGUUUCUCAAUAAAAGGAAAAACAAGUCUUUUGGUCUUUACUUUAAAGCAUAUACUAUCAUAGUUGACAGUAUAAGGAGUAAUGAGAUUGAUAAAGAGGGUUCCUAAAAUGACAAUAUGGUGUAUGUCAUUUGUAAGAAUAAAAGAAGUCCUGAAUUCAAAACCAUUGUUAUGAAUAGAGGCGUCAACUUUAGAAUUGACAUUAAGUUUUGAAUUAUUAGCGGCAGAAAGUCUCUCAUUUUUUUUUUCAUGAAACCUUCUGGGGACAAUAUCUUCUUUAAUGCAAUUUAAAUCAGCACCAGUAUCAAAGAGGGCAAUGAUGUCAAUUUCAAAAUCUUUAGAAAAGAUCAAGGUGAUUUUGAUCAAAUAUUUUCUUGUGGUGAUUUGUUUUAAUACGAAAAGAAAAUCAUUGGGUAUAAAUUCAAUGUUUUCUAAACUUUGUUCUCCAUUAUCACCAUUAUCUUCUUAUUCUUUAUCAGAAUUAUCUUGUAAUUGUCUUUGUAAGAGGAGUUGGAUAGUAUCAGAAUCAUUUUUUUUUGUUUUUCUUUUAAGUCUUUUAUCUCGAGUUUGAUAUUUUUUAUUUCUUUCUGAAGAUCUCGGAUAUUAGGAGUCGUUUUUUUCUUUGUUUUCUUUUUAUCCAAAAUUUCAGUAAGAUCAUAUGUAUUCUUUUUAAUUAUUGGGGCUUUAGAAAUUUCUGUUUUAUUUCCUACUUCUAAGGUUUUUAGAAGUUUAUCAAGGUAUUCUCUUUGAAGAGUAGGGUCAGAAAUGUGUUUGACUAAUUCAAGAAAAGUUUCUUGAUCUUUAGUGAAUACAUUGAUUUUCUUUAGACGAUAUUCUAUGUCAGAAUCACUACUACUAGAUUCUGAAGUAUCAGAAUCCACCAACUCGUCAAUUUGUAGGGGUCAUUGUCUCCUGUCAUGGAAGACUCAGAGUCAGAAGACUCUACAAGUAAAGGGGCAACUUUAGAAAGUAUUUCUUCGUCAAGGCCAAGCUCAUGGAGCUUUUUGUUCAUCCUGCAAAAUUUUGCAGUAUGGCAUUUCUUUCCACAUUUGUAACAUGUGGCUUCUUUGUAGUUAAAAGGGGUUUUAUGUUUGGGUCUAAAAUUCUUCUUCUUAGAGAAGUUGGGCUUCUUAUAAGGCCUUGAAGGUUUCUUAUAAGAAAGUUCUCUAAAAUCUUGAAAGGGUUUUUUAUGGCUUUUUUAUUUGUAAUGUUUCUUAUAAGGUUUUGAAGAACAUUCACCAUUACAAUCUUUAGAGGUGGAAGUUUUAAAGGGAUUAUAAUUGAAUUGCUUACAUAAACUGUCUAAUUCUUGUUUAGAUUUUCUAAGCUCCCAUUUUAGACGUUUCUAAAGUUUCAAGUCUUGACAAAUCUUUAAACAUUCUUUAUUAACAAAACUAACUAAUUCACCGUAUGUGAGUUCGUUAUAAAGAAUACGGUUGUCAUUCAAGGCUUUAGUAGAGUUCCUAACUUUUUCUCCUAAGAGGGUUGGUAAACCUGCAAGGAAUUUUUAUUUCCAAGUGAUAUGGUUUGCAUCAUCUCUUAGGAAGAAUCUAGUAAAGAAAGUGGUUUUAUAGCUUUGGAAUUCACUAAGUUUCCUACAUCUCAGGUUGUGUAGUAACUCAGCAUUUUUGUCUCUAAGGUGUGAAGGAUCACUUAUGAAAUGAAGGGAUACAGUCAGAAUUAGGGUAGCAACAGCAUCCUGAAUAUGGUCAUUUAAUUCGUCACAGAUGGGGGCUCCAUUUUCAUCUGUUUGAAUUGAAUUUAGGAUAUCUGAUUGUUGUUGUUUAGUGAGAAGAUGAUCCCACCAACCUUUAAGUUGACCAGUAAAACCCGCAAUGAGAAUUUCUGCAAUAGCCUUGUCAGAAGUUCCCGACUGAGUUUUAUAUGCAUUAGCUGCCAUAGUCAUAUGUUGCAAUAAUCCUAGAAUGUUGUAUUCAGACAUACCAUCAAUGUUCCACUCAUAGACAGAGGAUGCAUUAAAGCGUGAUUGGUUUAAUGCACUAGGUCCGUUGUCUAUGGCUAAGUCAGGUGGAGAUUUGACAGUAGGUAGGGCUAAUUCCCAAUGAAUUUUGUUGGCUUUAGAAACAGGUUCUUCUUUAAAGGCUUCUAUAUCAGAAGAGGCUAUAGAUAUGUCGUCUUGUUCUAGUACACCAAUUUUACUAGAUUGGGCACUAUCAGGGGCUAUUUGGAUUUUACUAGACGAAGAAGAAGAAGCUUCUAUUUUAUUUAGUUAUUCUCUAAUAGCUUUAGCAAAAUCUGAUUUUGACUCUUGAACAAGCUUUUGACUAGUUUUCGAAACCUGAAAGGGUUUGAAAAUAGGCUCUUUAAGCUUUUUGUCAGAAUCCGAUUUUGAAGUAAUAGGAGAAACAGUUAUGGUAGACUUCUGGAAUUGGUUUUCUAUCCUAGUCAACUGUUUUCCUAAUGUGUUUAGGUUAGCAUUACAAAAAUUAUUCUGUUGAAUAAUGCUGCCUAAAUUUGUCUCUGAAUCAUUUGGUUUAUGGAUUUUGUAGGGUGAGGCUUUAAUCUCAACAGGAGGCACACCAUGUUCAAUGGUCAAACUCCUAAGAGGUGGAUGUUCAGAUUCUAUGGUUCUAUCAUUAUCAAUAAGAUUCCAUUCAGGAAUCUUUUUCCUAAUAAUAAUAGGAUUUGAUUCUUUAAAAGGAAAAUCAAUGUUAUUAUCAGAGGCAUACAUUUUAAACCAGCUAAAGAAUAAAAUAUGAACUUUAUGCAGAUUUAUAAAUUCAUAAUAAAUUUCUUGUAUUUGUUUUCUUUGGCUUAAGAAAUUUUUGAAGAACCAAAGUCUUUUUUCUUUAUUGCAAUCAGAAUAAAAGUCAUUAUGUAGAAGAGUUUUAUCUAAUUCAAAAUCUUUUUCAAGAACAUUUAUUACAUUUUCAGUGACAGCGGAAAAUGUAGGAGAGGUUGGAGGAGAAGGUUCCUUCUCUUCCUGUCUUUGUUCAUGUUGACUGCUAGUGUAGAUUGGGUGAGGAACACUAGUGGUAUAGUCAACAGAGUGGAUAGAGGAACUAGGUAUAUCCGAUGUGGAAAACCUAGGUUGGUUUCUUACUGGUUGGAAAGGGAGGUUUAUAACGGAAGGAAUUUUUGAAAAUCUUCUUUCUAAUGAAGGAAUAUUCGUACUUGAGUCUUUAUCAGAGAACCUAGAAGAUGUAGAUCUCCUAAAGGACAGUUUAACCUUCCCAUCUGAAUACUGAGUCAUAUUUUGCAACUCUGUAUUAGGCUCAAGUUGUUUUGGAAUCACUGGUGCAGUGGCUCCUUCAAGAAUCCAUUCGUCUGGAAGAUUGACAUCUUUCCAUUGGAUUGGUUUUGGAAUAACGGUGUUGGCUUUAGAUAUAUCAGUCUGUAAGAGAAGAGUCUCAUCUCUUUUUGACUGAAACUUAUGUUCCAUACUAAACGCAGAAAUCAUGGCUUUGUAUGAGAUUUUAAAAAUUAAGGCUACUGGGACUGAUCCCUCGAUCAUGUAAUAAUUAUGGGUCUUGAUUUGCAAGAUCAUGCUUUUCAUAAUGUUUUUGUCUUUUAGAGAAAUUGUUAUGUUCGGGUAACAGCUAAAUGAGAUGGGACCUUUGCAAAGACUUGAUUCUAUACUACUUAGCAAAGAAUCAUCAAAAGAGAUGAAUCUCCCAUCUCUUAAGACAGCAAGAAUAGAUGUAUUAAGACCUUCUUUUGUUAAGGGCUUUAUACCAACUUGUAUUAAGCCGAUGUGAACAUAAUUAAAAUUUUUAUCUUUUAAUUUCUUUAAGGAGUGUUCUGAAAAUAGGUGAAUAGUUUCAAAUGGCUUUGAAAGGUUAUGUCACGUUCUUCAGUUUUUAUGACAUAAUCAUUCUUUAGAAAAUCAAGCUUUUUUGUUUUGUAAAUCAUUUCUUUAGAAAUCUUUGGUAAUUCCCAAUUAUCAAUUGCUUUAUUAAAGUCUUCAAUUACAAAUUCUUCUGAAUUAACAACAUUCUUAGAAUCACUAGUUUUCCCGGAAGAAGAGCUAGAAAAGGAUGAUGCUCUACAGAGUAGAGAAUCCAUGGAUAAAACCUAUAUUCUAGUUUUAGUCCUGUAGGUAUGGCUACAAUCCAAGGCUAAGAAUUGGUUUUACUGCCCUUCAACCAAAUCGGGACUUACGACCAAAUGCUACCAAGGCACCCAGAGGUAAACACUCACCACACAAACAAUGUUCAAUAAGAACACAAGUCUUUAAACACAGAAAUUCUAUCCUAUAUUACACUAUCCUCCCCAUGGCUCUGAUACCAGUACUUCAAAGGAAGAAAGAAAUUUAUGGGGUUUGUAAGGGGUUUGUAAUUUAUGACUAGUCUGGGUGUCCCUCUUUCUAUCUCAGAAUUCUUAUUGACAUAGAAAGCAGCAUAAGACCAAGGAGACUUAGACUUGACUAUGAGACCUUUAGAUUCUAAAUCUUUUAUCUCAUCUUUGCAAUGUUGCUCUAAUUCCAUGUUCAUUUGGAUUGGACGGGCUUUGGUAAGUAUUUGCUUUUCAUAAAAAGAAUUUUCAUAAGGCAAAUCAACUAAAUGUUGUUUUCUGUUCCAAAAAGCAGAUGGUAUAUCCGCACAUAUUUCUUUUUCAAUGAGGUCUUUAAGAUCAGAGAUUUUUCUUUUUACAAAUUCAUUUUGUAAUUGGUUUUCGAUUUUUUGUAAACUCAAAUCAUUUUUUAAACAAAUCAGAUCAUUUUGUUUUGUUUUGAGGAGUGUAUUGAUUUGGUUCUGGUAAACAGAACAAGCUUUAACAAUAUUCAAAUUUCUUGUUUUAGGUUUCUCAAUAAAAGGAAAAACAAGUCUUUUGGUCUUUGCUUUAAAGGAUAUACUAUCAUAGUUGACAGUAUAAGGAGUAAUGAGAUUGAUAAAGGGGUAUAUAUAUAUAUAUAUAUAUAUAUAUAUAUAUAUCCGAAGCAACCAAUAAAAACCCUCAAUACACAAGCUCACUCUUGGCUUAUAAUUUUGAAGAUGAGAUUUUUAUCAAUAUCAUAUUCAAGUAUGACCUUCAUAAGAUAUGCAACAUCCCCUUCAUAAACCAUUAACUCUAACCUAAACAAAUCAAUUCCCCAAACUACCCUCGACCAUCUUAUAGGAGCUGAUUUCUAACCAGCUAUAACUAUUGUCGGAAAAUCACAAUUAUUAAAAGUUACCGUAAACAUGUUGGCAUUCAAUAUAAAUGUUAACAAAAUUAAUUAGAGUUCAUAAACAUUUCCGAAAAACUAAUUUUCCACAAAAACAUUAAAACUGUCUAGUGACAAAAUAAACAAAGGACUAUUGGUUUAAAAAUUCAUAAUUUUAGUGAUAUGUGUUCAAAAAUAGUGAUUCAAGUUUUGAUCAUCAGAGGAGACAAUAUAGAGCUAAUGAAAAAGUAAUUAAAAUUAGCUUCAAUAUCACCAGCUUGAAAUUCUGGAAAGCCGCUUCCAAGAUUGCGGCAACCCAGCUCUAUGAUUUUUAAUGAUUUUCAUAUAAAUCCAAAACUUACGAUAUUAAAUACAAAAAAAAAAAAUAGACGUGGAUAUAUAGUAAUAAAAUUUUCUAGAAAUUUUCGGAAGUCAUUUGGAUUACAAAAUAAAUUAUAGAAUUGAGGAUUGCUGUCGAAAAUUGAAAUUUUUCGGUACUAGUAUUCCAAAUUUGAAAAAUCAAAACAAUUAAUAUGCAAUGAAUUUUUGGACAAUAAAUAUAUGGAUACAAAAAUAAAGAUGUCUAGUUUAAUAGGAUAUGAAGUUUUAUGCAUGAGAUUUAACGACAACAUCAACUAUAUAACAUUGAAUCUGCACUGUUUACAGUUUUCAGGAUAAUGUAAACAAAACCAUUCAAAUAAUGACAUAGAAUCACACAUACAAUAGAAAUUCAAAAGAUUAUAAAUACUUACCUCUCUAAGAAGAAUUUCACUCCAGACUACACCUUUGAGACUUAAAGCUUUUGUUCAAACACUUCUUGAAAAUUGUUUUAAUGCAAAUGAGAUACAACAUCAAGACACACACGCAAGCCACACACAAAGAAAAUAAAAAUACAAUCAAACUCAAUCAUUUAGCAUAAUUACUCUAGCCCAGUGUCUCCACUUUCCAAACAUUAAUCAUUCAACAUAAUCAUUACUCCACUCCACCAAUUUCUCCACUUACCAAACAUUAAUCAUUCAAUUUAAUUACUAACAUAAAAUAAUGUAUUCUAUUUAAAAAAAAUAAAAAUCCAAAAGACACUUUAAUCAUUCACUUGUAUAUAAUAAGUAUAAAAUACUACAUUAUGAAAUACAUACAUGAAAGAAAUAGAAGAAAUUUUAGGGUUUACAAAGCCACAUCCUCCUGAAGAGAAAAUUAAACCAUUCAAGUUGGAGCCACUUCCUAAAGAAUCACAUUCUGACAUGAAAAAGGUGGUAAGAUCUAAAGUGCUUAAAUUGUUAGAUUUUUAUAUUACUUCAGAUAACUCUUAGGUAAGCUUGAAACAGAAGAGAUCAAAGCAGUGUGAUAUUGAGGAGUUUCAUUACCAUCAUCCUUUUAUAGAUAAAAAGCUCCAGUGCUUAGUCAAUUAUGUUUUCUGGUAUUUUCUGUAUAAUUGCUUUGAUUUUCACCAAAUUCUUAUUGAUUCUAGUUGAUUUGUUAUUUACAUUAAUUAUUUAGUUUAGUACGAUUUUAUUUAUUUUAUUUUUUUAUUAUUUAUAUUUAUUCGAACGUUUUUUUUUUUAGUUGUCAUUUUCUUUUAAGCUUCCCCAACCCAUUCAGGUGUGUUCUCUCCAACUUUUUCUUUUAUUAUUUAUGUUUUUAUUUUAUUUUUUCAUCUUUUUGCAUACAUAUCUUUUAUUUAUGAAACAUUGAGGACAAUGUUCCGAAUAAGUUUGGGGAUGGGAAUGGUGUGUGCUUUGUUUGUUAUUUAAAAAAAUCAAAAAAAAAAUCAAAUUUUUUUUUUUUUUUUGUGAAAAGUCAAUGAUAAGAACUUGAUUGACAAGGAAUAUGGUUCUUAGAAAGGGUUGAAUAUUGUCUUAGUUUAUACUUGGUUCUUGUGUUAAUUGCUAUUGAUUGAGAUUCUUUAAACAGCAUGAGUACUAAUAUCAAUUCUUUCAUAAUUUUGACUUGAAAUCUGAGAUUGACGCAGCCUGAAUUGAGAAUUUUAGAUAGAGUAAAUGAUUGUUUUCUUGAUUCUUAUCUCCACAAUACAAAAUAGUAUACACAGGCACCAAAUUCAAAAAUAAUUAUCUAUAACCCUUAAGAGUGAAACUAUCUUUAAGUAAUUUGGGCUUACAUACCACCAGUAUAUAGAGGAUAAUCUACCGUAAGAAGAAGGCUACCUUAAGGGGUAGAGUGAACGUUUCUGACUUUGGUUUAAAAAAACAAAAGAGAAAAAAAUCAAGUCCAUGUGCUAAAAAAAAACAAAAUAAAAUGCGUAUAAAAGCCUAUAAAAAAAGAAAAAAAUUGGAGAUCAAGAUGAUAAGAUUAGUUUGACCUACUUUUUUCUGUAUUAGAGGCGAAGGCUAUUGAUAUUGAAGAUUUUGGGAAUUGAUUUGAUUGAAUUGAUUUCACACACACACACACACACUACAAGAAUCGAAAGAGAACUGUUGAAUUAAAGUUAGAAAUUUGCCAAUAUUUGAAAAUUUCUUUGAGCUAUAUAACUUAUGCAACCAUUAAGGCUAUUUUUAUGUUUUAUUUAAAGUUAUUUUAUUUUAUGUUUUUUUAUUUUAAAUGAUGCUUGUGGAUCGUUGGUAUGAAUUCAAAUGCUAUUAGUGUCAAUGUGCAAGUGUACACAACAAGUAAUAAAGUGAUGAGUAUUCAAAAUCGUCUCCACAGGGAUUGAUGUUAUCAGACUUACUACAGUAAUUUUAACAGUGCAGAUUUUGUUCUAAAUUAAAAUAAAACAAUUAAUGAAACUAAUAUACUAAUUAAAAUAAAAACGCAAUAAAUAAAAUGCAACAAAGUAAAUUAUCAGUCAAACUCAAGGAUAAAACCAAUGGGAAUAUAGAGUGGUUGAGUGAAUAAACUCUCCUAAUGGCCUUGAGUAUUUUCUACUGGUUGGCUCGGUUACUGCAGUAUCUGCUACAGCACUGGGCAGAAUCCUUAUGCAUCUUCAGCCGUCCCAUGUUGGAUAUCUUAUAUCUAUAUGCAACCUAACGGUGAUCAAUUGUUAUGCAAACAUAAGAUAUAGCAUUACACGCUUAGGUUCUAUUUACCCUACAAGGUGAAUUCAUAUGUCUAAUUCAUCACUAAUCUUAAAUCAAGUAUGGCCCUUUUGGGACUCAAGUAAAACUCAAUCCAGAAAACCCAAUUUAAGAUCAAGUAUUGUUUUGAUAUGUUCCACUAAGAUAGACUCUUUUGUGGCUCUUCCUUAGCUAGUAUCAUUAAAUGGGUGAUCAGUUGAAAUAAUGAAUAAAAAUAAAUUCUAUCAAAACAAAAUGCUACAGCAAAUAUGCAGCAACACAUAUUUUCAGUCAAUAAACCAUCAAGAUUGUUUAUCACUCAACUACAAAUAAAUUUAGUUCAUAAUUUGUAAAAGAAAAAUAAAGAGCAAAGUUUCAGCCAUAAAACACAUCCCCGUGAAUAAAUAGAAAACAAUAGAAGAAUAAGAAUGGCUGAGCUCCCAAUUGAUCUCUAUAAUUUCUCCUCUUGUGGAGCCCUUAAUCUCUCUCUUGAAUCUUGUUUUUCUUUUGUUUCUUUGUAGUUUUUCUCCUUGGGUUACGGCCCUCUUUAUUCCUUAUGAUGUGUGCUUCUUUUAUAGCUGAAAAUUAGAGUAAACGGAAGCCUAGGGCGCGCAUAAGUCAGAUUAGGAAACUGCAGAUCGCAAUUCUGCAAGUAUUCCGUGUGAAAUUUUCUCUAUCGUUGUUCCAAGAUUGCUACAGCAACGGCUACAAAAAAUGCAUUGUUCUAGAUUUGUUUCAAUUCUUUUGUAGUUAAGUUCUUUUCCAUCUUUUGCAAGCUUAUUACAUCAGCAUUCCUUCCUUGAAAUUUGGACUUCCGAACACCUACAUUUAUGCAUAUGAUUUAGCACACAAAUUAUUCUAAAUCAAACACAAUUUAUUACGAAUAAACUAAGAUGAAUGUUUAUGUAAAAUAUAAUAAAAAUGCAAUGAAAACACAUUAUUUACUCUCUAAGUAUUAUUGAUUUAAGUCUAAAAGUGUUAUGAUAACUCUUAUUUUAUAGAGUUAUCACACCCCCAAACUUAAACCAUUACUUGUCCUUAAGUAAUGACAACAACACUUCACAAUCAUGCAACAAUUAACUUAGCUCUAAUGUCAAAAUUGCAAGGAUUCGUCAACCCUCAGAUCACACUCUUAAUCACGCAAAAUAACCAUAGCAGUUCAAUUCUAGACUUAGGCUUCAUUCUGUCCAAAAUGUAUGUGUGCCACUUUGAUCAAAUUCCAGAGGUGCUACAACACUACAGAGACAUUGCAUAUAAUUUAGAGGUAGAACACAGAUGUAUUCACAUAUGGGGAAGCGGAAUUCACAAAUAAACUCAAAUUGUGCUACAACAAACACAAUUAUUUUUUUGGGAGCAAUUAGACAUAUUUGCAUGUGAAGUCAAGCCAAGGAAACUGAAUUCAACAGAUUAAUUCAUCCAUGCACAUGAAGACAAAGAAGAUUACGACCAUCACGUGAGAAGCAAUCACCAUUAUUGUUAGCAUGUGCAUGGCAUUAAAAAAGGAAUCCUACUGCAAUUCUAAGUGGUGAGCACGUGUGAGAGCAAAACAAAUUAAAAGGCCAAGCCUUUUGGCUUUAGAAUUGGAAUGGUCGGUGGCCCAUUUUGGAGAUUAUAAAAAGAAAGGUGAACUUUGGCUUUUAAUAGGGCAGCUGUGAAAGGAGAAAAAAGAGAGAAAUGUUACGCAUUCGGCAGAGAAGAAAAUAGUGGCGGCAGCUCUUUAAUUUUUCCAUGACUGGUUUUAUUUUAUUUGUUGCUCCCAAUUCAAGUAUGUCUAUCUAAUUUUCUUUUACUAAGGUUAAGGAUAAAACCCUAUCCAAUGAAAUAAUUAUAUUUUUAUUUAAUUAAUACCCUACAUGCGUGUUUUAUUGUUUAUGGUUCUUGUUUCAUAUGAUUAGUUAAAUGUUAUUAAAUCUUUUCAUCAAUUCUAUCAAGCAUUAUUGAUUGUUAGGAUUAAUAUUCGAUUAAUUUAUGUUUUGGUGUAUAAAGUUUUUAUAUGAUUAUCUUUAAUUUUAUAUCUUUCAUUAAAUUAUUUACACAGAGUGCUUAGGAAAAUUUUGACUCUUUGUUAUUCAAUAUGUUUACAUGAGAUGUUUAGAUAUCAUACUAUUAAGCAGAAAAAGAACAGACAUUAGAUUUAAUUACUUGGGUUUAAUUGUUAUAUCCAUGAGAUGACAUAGAUUGAUUUCGAGUUGUCACUUUAAAAUUAGGGAUUAAUUAACAAUUUGAUAAUUAUUAGUUGAAUAGUGGUGGAUUCUGAAACCUUAGUAAUUUUUGUCUUAUUGAAUUCUCCUUUAUUUUAAUUGUUUUCUUAGUUUAAUUAGUUUAAUUUAUCUUAAAACUCAAUUUGCUCAACUAGGUUAGAAUUAAUAUUAAUUUUAUAUUUAAAUUAGACAUUUCAAUUUAUAACAAUUCAUGUGGGUUCGAUCUCGUUACUACUGUUUUAUUUUUAGAUUUGUGUGCUUAUGAGUAUAUUAAAAUUUUUCAUAGCAUCAUGCAAGCAAACUUUUCACUUGCAUAUCAAAUUGCGAUGGUGGUGAGGAAAAUUUUUUUUUUUUACAUUUUAAGGAUAAUUUUAAAAAUAAAAUGAUUAAUUGAAUAACGGAAACUAAUGAGAUAAAUUGAAAGAUCAAAUAUCAUUUCAACAAAGGUAUUAUUAUUAUUGUCAUCAUUAUUUAUUUUUUAAAUCCAUACGGAGCUACAGCUCGAUGCACUGGUUCAAAUGUGCUCUACUUUAUUAUAUUCUUAGAACUUGAGUUAAACUUGAAAUUGUCACUCUCUUAGUAAAAUUUAAGAGAGUGGGUUCGAAUCUCAAGGAAUUCUAUAUUUCAUAUUUGUCACGAGUAAUAAAAAAAAAUCUCGAAAUUAUAAAUGGAGAAUAUGAGAAAUUUGAAAUUAGCUGCAAAAUGAUGUCAUCCAUCUAGGGAUGGCAAAACCCCGGGCUGGGUCCGGAUAUUGCAAUGACCGGACCCUGCCCGAAUGCAACCGGUCUGGGUUCAGGUCCGGGUUUUAAUCCAGGUACUUAAAUUUUAUAUUUUUUAAUAUCAUAUGUGUAUAUAUUUUAUAUUUUUUGGUAAUUUUAUAAGUUUUAAAUUUAUUUCAAUAAAAUUUGACAUGAAAAUAUAAAUUUUAAGUGUUUAAAAUUUUAUAUAUGUAUAAUAAAUGAGUCAAAUAAAUAUAAAUAUUUAAAAUAAUAAAUAUUUUAUAAUUUUUUUAAAAAAAUUUAGAUUCCAAAUUUAUCAAGUGAUGCCCAAAAUCAACCCGACUUCAUAUCCAAACUAAAAAAUACCCAACCUACAAUACUUAAAUACGAUCUAAGUCUGAACCAAACGGAUAUUUUUACCACCUCUACAUCCAUCCAAGAUAAGACGGUGAUCAUUAAGAUAACGAAUAGGUUCCUUUCAAGAUUACAGCUGGACAUGGGCUGAGAGAAAAUUUUUUUUUUUUUUUCUCUUUUUGAGCUUUGGAGAAUAACAGGAGGUGAUAAUUAAUUAAACAAACAAACACCACUCGACAAAAUUAUAAACGACAAGAAGAAUUAUUUCAUUCAAGUUUAUGUGGUGACGAUUCAAGAUAACAUCGGGGCACGAGGGGGACGGUCAACAGACAAAUUACCAUCACAAUAAACGUGUCAAAUAAAUGCAGGUGCGCCCCGAAGAGAGGAAGAAACUCCAAAUUAUUGGAUAAUCAUAGCAAAAUGGUAUUGCUUGCCUAGAUCAGAAGUAAUCUUGUAUCAUUUUUUAGCUUCCCCAAAUUCUGUUUCUGUACACUGUAAGUAUUUUUCAUCCUCAUUUUCUUGUUUCCACUUUCCAUUAUGCGUUAUAUCACCAUUUAUUUUCAUCUCGACAUUUGGUUUCAAUCAGAUCACCGGAGGAAAUAAAGAUGGGAAGAACACAGAUCAUCUCAAAGAGCACCGUCUGUGCAGCAAUUCACAAGGAACCAAACCUUAGAAUUUGAUACCAUUCAGAAAGGACUUCUCUUCCGCAAACCUCCAAAUGAUAACACCGAUACCAGCAGCGUAAACUUGAUCCACCACCUCAAGACCUCCCUUGCACGAACGCUAGACUACUUUCCCGCACUUGCCAGUCGCCUAGCCACCAUUGAGCAUCAUGAUGACAGCAACACAAUUUCUGUUUACAUAAAUUGCAACAAUGCCGGCGCAGAGUUUGUGCACGCCACGGCCGAUGGAGUCUCUGUUGCAGAUAUCAUUUCACCUGUUUAUGUUCCUAAUGAAAUUGUUUACUCUUUUUUCCCACUAAAUGGAGUAACAAACUGUCAGUGUAUCUCCGAGGCCAAGCCGUUGCUUGGGGUUCAAGUGACAGAGCUUGUGGAUGGAAUCUUCAUCGCUUGCACUAUCAAUCACUCCGUUGUUGA
rnacentral:lncRNA from 1 species